rnacentral:lncRNA from 1 species
CCAUCUCUUUUUUGUAUGUUUCUAGCCAAAGAAUUGCAAAUUUCUAGUACUCUGUCUCUCACCCACAAUGCUAGAGUUGCACAAGUACUACUUGACACUGAAAUAAGGAGAGCUUGGCCGACAUAUUUAUAUAGUCAGGGGGUGGAAAGUGGGUGCAACAGAGGAAGAACUUUUGUACUACAAUAAGGUAUAUUUUAUUUGAACAAAUUUUCUAUUCUAAAAUGCAAAAGAGCACUCUGAAUAAGGAAGGUGCAAUAGCAAUAUCCCAGGAUGCUCUUUUAUUAUGUCAUCCACCAAUCCUUAGGGGCACUACGGCUUACAACUCAUGCUUUUUUUUUUGGAGGGGUUUGAUUUUAAUGAUUUUAUAUACAAAAUGAACUCCUAAUCAGCUAAAAAACAAUUCAGAAAUGAUGGAAGGACCAAUUAUGGCUUGCCAUUCGGCCUCAAUAAUGUAGGGGCUAUCCAGUUCUGGCUUUUGGGUACUGCUAUUGUCUAUAGAGGAGAUCAAUUUGCUACAAUGACCGAAGAAAUUCAGGAUAUACUUCCCUUUGCUUUGCUUUAGUAGGUUUAUCUUUUACUAGUGGGUUGUCAUUAAUUUAUCAAUCUCUAAUUCUCUAUAGUUAUAAAGAAAUAAAUGCAUUUAACUUCUUUUUCUUAAAUCUUUGAGCGGGUCAAAAUAAAUUGAGUCAAUAAAUGAAUAGGGCUAUAAUCCGCCGAAUGUUUUGCUUGGGACACAAUGGACAUGUGAAUUUGGACUAAGCGACGGGUCAUAAUUUAAUCUGUCCAAUUCAAAAGUUUUUUUAUUUGUUUGUUCUUUUAACCUUUGUUUAGUUAUCAAAUCAAACUAAUGAAGUAAUAAUCUUUUCUUUAUUUAUUGUGAUUAUUUCAAGCAAAUCAAGCUCAAAUAAUUAUUUUCUCUGUUUUUUGAUAAGUUUUCUUGUGGUUCAAUUUGAGUUACAUAUGCAACUCAAAUUGGCCCAAGCUUUAGAUCAGCUGAAUUGAACUAUGCCCAAAAUCAUUCGUCAAUAAACAUAUGCCUAGCCAACUUGUCCAAGUCUGGACGGAUUAAGCACGAGCCAAAUUUGACACGGAUACAUAAUAUACAUUGGGUUUUUCUAUGCAUGGAAAGGGUCAAAUUGUUGAACCAAAAAAGAAAAGCAAAAGGAAUGGUUCAAGUUGACAGAAUACGAAAAUAGAGUCUAUUAAUUUUGUUACGCUCGAUAACUUUGUUGGUAGGUACUUUAUGCUGUUAUACAAAAGUUAUUAAUAUAACAUAUACUCAUUGGCACUGUUUCAAUGAUUGAACGUCAGAUGUUUCAUACCAUCCUUCUUCUCUUAUUUUAUAAUCAUAUUAUAAUAUAAAGUUACUUCUUUUCUUGGAUGUGUUGAAUGAGCGCAAAAUCACUCUCAGGGGAAUUAGAACACUUCUUUUACAAAGGACAUUGGUACCACUUUGAACGUUCUUGCUUUAAUCUUAGUCGUUUAAUAAUAUAUGUGCACACAUCCGCUUGCCUCAUAUUGGUUUCAUGAUAAAAAUGAAAAAGACGUUAGUUUUAUAAAGUAAGAUUAAACAAUUGAAAGAUGGAGAGCCAAAGGUGCAUCUCAUUUCUUCUAAAUGGAGUGGGGUUAAUUUCACCAUGAUCAUCCAACUUAUCAUUUAUUUCACAAAAGUCAUUUAUUUAUUUUUCAUCACUUAAAAGUCACUCAACUUUACCUUUGUAACUUAAAAGUCAUUCUAGUUCAAAACUUAUAAAAUAUCCAAUAAAAUAUAUAACAUGACAGUAUAUUUAAUUAAAAAAUCUAACAAUAAUGCCACAUAAGCUUAAAUAGACCAUAUCUAAGUUAGACCCAUUUCUUCCUCAGCUCGAUUUCGGUCGGUUUUUUGAAUAUUAGUUUUAAUUUAUUUAUAUGAAAAACCGACCGAUUUCGGUCGAUUUCUUAAAAAAUAAAUUUUGCGGGAUUCUAAAAUAGUUUCCCGCAGUUUGCGCCAAAAAAAACCGACCAAAGUCGGUCGGUUUGGUAAAAGAAAAUUAAAAAAUAAAAUAUUUUGGAAAACCGACCGACUUCAAUCUCAAGAACAACAAGCUAAUAAGAACUUAUUCUCACAAAUUACUAUUCCAUUAAAGUCAAAAUAUUAGUAAGAAACACCCACAAUAAUUGCAUAGUAGAAGUUCACUACUAAAAAUUCGGCCAAAAUAGACUGCGGCCAACCGACCGACUUCGGUCGGUCAAAACACCGACCGAAAAAUCUAUNNNNNNNNNNNNNNNNNNNNNNNNNUCAAGAACAACAAGCUAAUAAGGAACUUAUUCUCNCAAAAUUACUAAUUCCAUUAAAGUCAAAAUAUUAGUAAGAAANACCCACAAUAAUUGCAUAGUAGAAGUUCACUACUAAAAAUUCGGCCAAAAUAGACUGCGGCCAACCGACCGACUUCGGUCGGUCAAAACACCGACCGAAAAAUCUAUCGAAGUCGGUCGAUUUUCUCAAAUAUUUUUUUUAAUUUUUUUUUACGAAACCGACCGACUUUGGUCUGUUUUUUUAGCGCAAAAAUGAGGAAAACUAUUUUAGAAUCCCGCAAAAUUUAUUUUUUAAGAAACCGACCGAAAUCAGUCGGUUUUUCAUAUAAAAUAAAUUAAAACUAAUAUUCAAAAAAUCGACCGAAAUCGGGCUGAGUAAGAAAUGGGUCUAACUUAGAUAUGGUUUAUUUAAGCUUAUGUAGCAUUAUUGUUAGAUUUUUUAAUUAAAUAUAAUGCCAUGUCAUAUUUUUUAUUGGAUAUUUUAUAGGUUUUGAAAUAGAAUGACUUUUAAGUUACAAAGUUAAAGUUGAGGGACUUUUAAGUGAUGAAAAAUAGAUAAGUGACUUUUGUGAAAUAAAUGAUAAGUUGGAUGACAUUCAGUGAAAUUAACCCUAAAGGAAGACUCUAAUUUCUCUACUUAUAUUAAGACUAGUCCUCCCCACGUAAAAAUUGCAAAGGGCACCCUAUUUGGUCGCUCCUUUUUAACUUAUACCCGUUUUAUUUUUUCGUUUGCAUCCGUACCCAUUUUUUGUUAAAAACGUUUUAAAAAGAUGAUUUUGCCCUUCUUUAAUAAAAGACUAUUGACAAACUGCAGGACAAAAAUUUAAGCAUUUAUACUGAAGUUUCGGAUAAAACUCAGGACAAAACUAUAGAGUGCGUUACAAAACUUCAGCAUGUUUUGGUAUGAAGUUUAGCAAAUGAACUAAAUAACUUCAACAUGCGUUAGCAAAAACUCUUUAGAAAAUUACAUAUUGCAAGACAAAAACUUAAGCAUGUUUAGUCUGAAGUUUAGCAAAUGAACUAAAAAAGUUCAGCAUGUUUAGUCUGAAGUUUUAGCAAAUGAACUAAAAAACUUAAGCAUGUUUAGUCUGAAGUUUUAGCAAAUGAACUAAAUAACUUAAGCAUNNNNNNNNNNNNNNNNNNNNNNNNNNNNNNNNNNNNNNNNNNNNNNNNNNNNNNNNNNNNNNNNNNNNNNNNNNNNNNNNNNNNNNNNNNNNNNNNNNNNNNNNNNNNNNNNNNNNNNNNNNNNNNNNNNNNNNNNNNNNNNNNNNNNNNNNNNNNNNNNNNNNNNNNNNNNNNNNNNNNNNNNNNNNNNNNNNNNNNNNNNNNNNNNNNNNNNNNNNNNNNNNNNNNNNNNNNNNNNNNNNNNNNNNNNNNNNNNNNNNNNNNNNNNNNNNNNNNNNNNNNNNNNNNNNNNNNNNNNNNNNNNNNNNNNNNNNNNNNNNNNNNNNNNNNNNNNNNNNNNNNNNNNNNNNNNNNNNNNNNNNNNNNNNNNNNNNNNNNNNNNNNNNNNNNNNNNNNNNNNNNNNNNNNNNNNNNNNNNNNNNNNNNNNNNNNNNNNNNNNNNNNNNNNNNNNNNNNNNNNNNNNNNNNNNNNNNNNNNNNNNNNNNNNNNNNNNNNNNNNNNNNNNNNNNNNNNNNNNNNNNNNNNNNNNNNNNNNNNNNNNNNNNNNNNNNNNNNNNNNNNNNNNNNNNNNNNNNNNNNNNNNNNNNNNNNNNNNNNNNNNNNNNNNNNNNNNNNGUUUAGUCUGAAGUUUUUGCAAAUGAACUAAAUAACUUCAGCAUGUUUAGUUUGAAGUUUUAGCAAAUGAACUAAAUAACUUCAGCAUGUUUAGACAGAAGUUUCAGAUAAAAUUCAUGAUAAAACUGUAGACUGCAUGACAAAUAACUUCAGCAUGCAUUAGCAUGAAGUUUUAGCUUCAACAUGAAACAACUUCAUGCUGCAUUAGCAUGAAGUUUUAGCUUCAAGGGGAAACAACUUCAUGCAAGUGUGAUUCUGAAAAUAAAUCUGAACAAGUUUCUGAUUUUUUUAUAAAGUUGCUGAGAGGAGAGGAUGAGAUCGUUUUAUAUCUUUUGUCAGGAGUGUAAUUGUCAUAUUAUUACGGAUUUUUUGUGAGAUGGCUACCAAAUCAAUAAUUUUAAAAAAUAGGAUACAAAUUAAAAGGUGACACAAAUAUAAGGUGCGACUGCAAAUCCCCUCCCCGCUGAACAUUAAGGAUGCAUGUACUGUAUCUUUUUUCUACUUAAAGCUUAUUUAACUUUUAACAGAAAGUUAUAUGUCAUUUUAAAAUCGUGACCAAUUACUUCUAGCUCUCUCAUUGGAUGUAUGUCGUCGGCGUUGCCGAGUAAUUGAAAUUAAAAGUGAAUGAGCCUAACACGGUUAAAAAUUUAUUUGGUUAAUAGACCUAAAUAAUUUGCUUGUAUUAACACCGUGUUUCCCGUUCUUCUCGUGACGAAUUAUAUGUCACGUCCCAAACUACAUCCCAGACGUGAUUGACACCCAGUUAACAUUACCCGUCAGGCAAAUUAUACUUUUUUAGCUUAUCCAUUAAUUUACAGUAUUUAAUUAAUCACAAGAGUGUCUAAAUAAUCUGACAACUAAAUUACAAAAUAUAUAUUAAUAUCUUGAAAUAUUAUAAUGAAAUUCUAACCCAAAUUCCACACUAGACCAUGCAACAUCUAAUAGAAUUGCAAGAGACAUCAUACGAAUGAAUAAUAAAGACUCUUUUGGCGGCCUCCACGAACAAUGCGGCGGCUCACCUCAACAACCGAAUCAACUCUAGUGAACUCGUCAGCUACUAGCUCCGUCUUCACCAAUAGUAUCUGCAUAGACAUGUAGGUAAGGAGCGAGUUAUAUGUAAAUAUAACCCAGUAAGAUCCUCGACCCGCCACUAUGAAUACCUCUAGAAUAAGUGUUAGAAAAUACAAACACACAACGAGCACAGAAAUAAUAUGCACAAAAAUCUUUCACCAUAUAAUUACUCUAUAAUGCCCAACCAAUUAUUCAACAACAACACUAUGUAUAUCUCAACACAAUCUACACUAAGGACUUGUCAUUAACAGCAGUGCAGGAAAUUAACCAAACACCCCGACGAGUCCACGACAGCAUACACAAUGCCUCAAAUCUAUCACAGCAGCAUACACAAUGCCCCAAAUAUAUUAUGGUGGCAUACACAAUUUCCCAAAUCUAUCACAGCGGUAUACAUGAUGCCCCAAAUCUAUUACGGCGGCAUACACAAUGCCCCAGAUAUAUUACGGCAACGAAGAAAUAAUUUCGCUCCAACGCCAUAGCACGAGGCUACGCCACAUCACACUACACCAAUAAUCACUUAUUAAAUUUUCAAUUUUUUACAAAAUAAUAUAUAUUUGCGGCUGGUCAAAGACCACCGAUUUUGCCAAGCGCACGCUCGUCCCAACACAUGGACCAGGCAGACAAAAUAUUUUUCAAAACGGGUUUUGAAAAAUCAAGUAUCAAAGUUUAAAGUCCCACUUACCUCGCAAAUGACAAAUUUUCCGACCUUGCAAUAUUUAGAUCACCAAUCAAACGGCCUUCGAUGGCCUCAAUGUACGUAAAAUAUUAAUGAAUGAUAUCAAUUAUGCUAGUCGAGGUUAUCUCAUAAUUGUUAUAUAUACCAAAGUCAGUAAGUGAUAUGCUAACAAUUCAACUAAUCCCUUGAACACUCACAUAUGUAAAACUCAGUAAACUUGAAAGUUCCUAAGCAUAAUGGACUCAAUGACUCGUUAAUACAGCUGUAGCUAUACAUGAGUUGAAUUAUCCAAUUCUAAUCACAUGAAUGUGUAAUGUAGAUCCCACGAUUUCCCUGUGCAAAUUAUUUGACUUCAAAAUGCAAUGUUACAAAGCUUUGUCCAUAAUAUUAUGUCUUCCAUUACUACUCAAUCAUCAUGGCUCCUAAAUUAUUAGCAGUGGCCGAAACCAGUAAGGAAAAUAUUUUUCCAUAGCAUAGUACCCUUCAACUUAUAAUUAAUUCAAUUCCUCAAUCAUUAUUCUCCUCAUUACUUAUUCAUUAUUAUAUUCAUGCCAUUCAUAUAUUUCUAAUGUACUAAGGGGUCGUUUGGUAGGGUGUAUAAGAAUAGUGCGGAAUAGGGUGUAUUAGUAAUGUAUGGAUUAGUAUUGCAUGGAUUAGUAAUGCAAGCAUUAGUUAUGCAGAUAUUAUUUCUUAUCUAUUGUUUGGUGUGGUGUAUUAAAAUUAUAAUACAUUGCAUAAUUUUUAAGAAAAAUAGGUUUUUACAAAAAUACCCUCCAUAUUCUCAAGUUUUAAGGGACUUUAAGGAUAAUUUUUUCUUUAACCAACCUAAUACAUGCAUUAGUGUGAGCACGUGAUUUUUGCCCGACUAAAAUAUUCCUAUAGAAAUUCACAAAUAGAUUUUUUUUUUUCUUAAUUGUUUUUAGUUUUAUAGAAUUUGUAGGAAUUUCGGUUUAAAAGCUGCUUGCAUUUAGUUGCAUAUUUAACAUUCUAAAAUCAUAAAAAAAAUACCAAAAUGUCUAAAGUAUUUCUUGCAUAACAUUUUAGGUCUAGUUGCAUUUAGGAUUUAAUUGCAUGAGUUAACUGCAUUAUUAAACAAAAAUCACGAAAAUAUGAGUCGUUUUUACAUUUUUAGGCUUUAAAUUGCAAAUUAGUAAUUCUUCUUUUAUUAGUCUAAAUUAAUUAAUUAUGAUAAAAUAGAUAACUAGGUUUAUUUCUACAAAUUAGCUUGAUUUAAUACUUAAUUUAGGUUUUAAUUAAUUAGAAUUUAAAAUCAAGAAAAAGAAAAGAAAAGAAAGAAAUUCUGUUUGGUCUCAAACUUGGGCCAAAACAAUGUCUGGCCCAAACGAUCGCCCCAAGUCCGCUAAGCCCAACCCCUCACCUGGCCCAGCCUCGUCACUUAACCAAAACGAUGUCGUUUCGUUAACAGGCGAUCUCAGCCGUUGAUCUCCUUUGAUCUAACGGCCCGUAAUCUCCCCCCCCCCCCCAAACCCCUUAUAUUUGUCGGAUCCACCCCCAAAACCCUGGAGACCCCCCUUAUUUUCCUCUCCCUCUCCUUCACUCACCAAACCCUAGCCGCCCCCAAACCCCUCGUCUCUCUCUCUCAAACUCACUCCAAACCCUAGCUGCCCAGAAUCCCCACGCCGACGGCACCACUCCGAAUCCUCUCAAACUCGCACCCUAUGACCCUCAUACCCUCCUAAUCCCUAAUCCCCCAUCAAUUUCAUCAAAAACCCCACCAAAAUUAGCGAAUCUUAGAUCUAAAAAUUCCAGAAAAACCCUAGUCUGGUUUAUUUCUAAAUAACUUUGGUGUUUCUGUUUAUUUUAGUUCAAGGCUUACAUGCAUCGAGUAAUCUUGUUGAGAGCAUCUAUUCUAGGCUAGUCUCGACCCGUUUCGAAGUUACCGGAGUCCGGUCCUUUCAUCGAUUCGCGGCUAGAGUUCAUCGUUCCUGUUGCCCGUCGGGUUAUUUCGUUUACUCAUUUCUUUAGCGUUAAAUUAGUAUUCUUUUUUCCUCAUUUGUUCCGGCUCUGUGUUUUUCUUGUUUGUUUUUGUUUUGUUGUUUUUCCUUCUUUUUCUUUUUUCCCGAUUGGUUGAUUAAGCUUCGUCGUUAAUUGCAUGUUCAAUUUGUUCAACUAAUAAACUAAUUUAGAUUAAUUAAAGGUUAAAUAUUUAGUCAAAUCUCUGAUUUUAUUUGAAAUAUGGCAUUUGUUGUUUCAUUUCUUUUGUGGGCUGGUUUCUUUAAUGUCGGAUCUGGGCUUGGUUUUGGGCCAUUUGGGUCCAAGCCUAAGCAGAUAGUCUGUUUCUAGAAGGGACAGCUGGCAUUUUUCAGUUGGAAAAAGAUUCCCUCCCCUCGUCUAUUUUUCCUGAAUUCACGCUGACAUAUUCCUUCCCCCCAACAGACCUUCUCUGAUUUUAGAUAGCCUAUAUAUACACCCUUCACACAGAAACGAAGGGUGGGAUUUUAGACUGAGUUUUAUUCCUCUCAAAUACAAUCGGGAAUAGACAGAUUUUAGGGAGAGUUCUUUGAAAUUGAAUCUUCUUCUCAUUUUCUGAGAUGGAUUUCUUCUAGAGAGUACUGGAAAUUCCCAGACUUAAGGCUGUUUUUCUCUGGUUUGCUGCUGCUGUUGACUAGCUGUGUUUGAGGCUUAGCUUUAAGGCUAGGAUUGUUGCUUGGUUUUCUUGGUUGCUACUCAGUUCUGCUGGUUGUUUAUUUCUCUCUUGGCCUUUAUUUGGCUCUUCAGCUGGUCUAUCAGUUGUUAGGUAUUUAUCACAAUUCUAUACAUUGGUUAUGCUUCAAAAGGGAUUGCUAAUUUUCUCUUUGUUGACUUAUCACUGUGUUUUCGAUGUAUUGACUUAAAUCCUAAUGUAUUUAAAUAGUUUCUUAUUGCUGAUAUUUUUUUAAGGGCAGAUUUAGUUCGUUCAUAGUGACAUGUUGCGUUUUCAGCCUUGUAUGUCUGGUUUGUUAGUUCUAAAUGUUGUUUAAGUUGUUUUGCUUGGAUUGACCAUUUGUAUUGCUUUUCCUUUUCUUCCUAUUGCUGUUAGUAUACAUUCUCAAGAAAAAAAUGACUUUGUUUGGAUGAGACUGCCAGCAGUACCUUAGUCAAACCUGAACAUAUGGGCCAUUUGAUUCGCCAAACAGUUUAUGAAGAAUAGCCCAAUGGCUAUAUCUUUGUAAGUUUGGGAGAGUAAUUGGAAGCAGAAGUCCUCAAGUAGGAAGCUCAGGGUCACGUUAGGCAUUAUGUUGUGUAAUAAAGGGCUUCAUAAGCAAAGUACCCUUGAUAGCAAUAGUUAAGUCUUCUGUAACGUUAAGUUUGAGGGUUGUCUGCUGAUAAAUGAUUUGUACAAGAUUUGUUUUGAAAAGGUUUGUAAUAAUUCAUGAAUUCAGCUACUGUAAUCAGUAGCUAUGGAGUAGGUUAUCUUUGUAAAUUUAACCUCUAAUUUAGCUUUACACAUGGUUUCAAAAUUUAGGUGAAUGAUGUUCUUCUCCGGAUUUCGUCUUAACAGGGACUUCAUAAAUGGGCCAGACUUGUAACUUGGGCCAGUUGGGAGUCCUUUGAGCGAGUCUGGACCUUAGGCCGUUGGGCCUGGGGUAUGGAGCCCAGUAAUAGGGCUUGAUCGUGUAUUUGUUCAGAGCUGGUGUAGCCGAAGUGUUAUUAUACUAGUGUUGCAAAUUCAGAAUGUACUUGUGCUGUAAAUUAGAAUCAAGUUCGAUCAUUCUCUUGGUUGGCUGUCGAUUAUCUCAUAAAUUAAAUUGAGUUGAUAACAUGUUAGUUUAUAAUUCUAUAUAAUGUUUGCUUCUGGAAAUUAAAUGUCAUUUUGAAUAGUCUAAGACCCUCAGGAAAGAAUGAUCUGGCUCCUACAGUAUAUCUCCAUAACGUUUGUACCUCACAUGCAAUCUCGAACUUUAGGAUAAUCAAACCAUGAAUAUGCGUAGUUUUGCUUUAGGCGCGAUUAAUAAUAAAUCAUCGUGACUAUGGGUACGGUUCCCGUGACAUAGUUAUGAUACGUAAUCCCAAUCCGAGUGUACGUUUCACGUAACUCGACCACAAUUUCAAACAAUAAUAAAAACAAGCAUGUCGUAAAUCGCGGGUACAUUUCAUGUGGCGCGGUUUGCAACGUGUGCCAAAAUGACAAGUAUACGACAUCGUGACUUGUUUCCAAAAAUAAUUCCAUAAACAAUUGAAAGUGGUUAGAAGAUAAACAAUGUACCGUAAGUUUCAAAUAUGUAAUAAAUCAUAUAAUUAGGCCAAAUUAUUAAUAGUUGAGCGACCGUGCUAAAACCUCGGAACUCCGGAGUGCCUCACACCUUCUCCUGGGUUAACAGAAUUCCUUACCCAGUUUUCUGUGUUCGCGGACCAUAGAUAGAGACAAAUUUCCUCGAUUUGGGAUUUAAAAUAAACCGGUGACUUGGGACACCAUAAAUUAUUCCAAGUGGCGACUCUGAUAAAUAAAUAACCCAUUUCGAUUAAUGUCACUUAAAUUGGAAAAACUCCCCUAAUAUCCCGUUCGGGAAAAAAAGGAGGUGUGACAAUUAGUAGCCUUGGUAUUACUAAUGCCAUGGUUUUCUAUGCAUUACUUAUACAUAGGAUAAUACCAAAUAUGAUGUAUAACUAAUACACAUGUUGAAAAAAUAUACCAAGCAAGGUAUUAGUAAUGCAUAGAGAUAAUGCUUGCAUUAUUUUUUCUAAUACCUCCAACAAAAUCACCCCUAAGUGAUACAAAUUCGUUACUGAAGCAGUAUAGUUUUUUUCUCCAAAUUCCUACAAUCUUUAACAACUAUCAAUCAUUAUCUCCUGAUUAGAAGUCAUUCAUGACCUAAUUAUUACUCCCCUCUUUGCUACCCAAAUCAUUGGGUAAUUACUAUUUCUCCUAAAUUAGAAGGAGCAGACACCGAAAAUUACCAACCUAGUCUUACAUAGCAGUAGCUUCCAACGUCUCACAUAUUGUAUUUGAUUUCACCACUAAUUAAUUAUUGCCAAAUUAUUUAUCCCACGAUUAUGGGUCUAAUCAUUAUUCUAUAUUCCGUAUUUAUCAUUAUUAAUUGACCAAAAUAAAUGGAAAAGUCAUAGCAAAGGUUAGAUAAUACCUGAAGCCUAUUCUUCUUAAUUUCGCAAGCACCAAAGUUAGGCAGUAAAAGCCUAUUUUUCUUGUUCUCUAGCCGCCGUCAAUUUUUUGCUCCUACCCAGUUGCGUGUUUUCUUCUUUACUAGUUAAGGACACUAAUUGAAAGUUUGAAACUUAUAAGCCUAGGUCAAUCCCACGUUAUCGGCUAGUAAAUGGUGGGCUAGGCUUUACAAAUAAUUCAUCAAAGUCACUUACCUCAAAUUUUCAAAUUUACCCGCUAGCUACUUAUUUAAUACACUAACUUAUACAUUAUAAUAAAUUCUUUUCUACUAGCUUAGGCCUAAUAACUAUAAAAAAAUUAAUUUUUCAAUCCCACAAUUAAUAAGUAUAUCAAAAUAUUUUGGGUUUAUAGAUAUUAUACUGACUAAAACGUCAUGAUCUAACAUGAAGUAGAUUGGAAUAAUAUGUUUCGGUCAAUUUACAUGAGACCGACCAACCUUAGUUAAUACAUCAAUCUAAGUAACAAGUAUAUACCCGCAAAAUUUGUACCCUCUAUGAGGUCGUUUGGUAGCUGGUUAGAAGAAAAAUUAUUCAUGUAUUGAGAGCAACAUAGUUUAUACAAUAUUUGGUAGCCAUUAAUUAUUUUGUACAAAAUUUAUCAUAACUAAUACCAUAUUUGGUUGUCAUUUUACAAUUCUACAUAAAUAAUACAUGUUUAAGUUAUGAGUCAAUAUGUGUAUUAUUUUAUGCGGUGUAGAAGAUGGAAUAACUAAUACAUGUAUUAGUAAUACAAUAAUAAAAUAUUAAAAUGACAAAUUUACCCUAUCACUUUACACAAAGGCUUCCUUUGAUAGAUUGAUCUGUAUUAAACCCUUUGGAAAGCAAGCAUGGAGAUACUGAUGCCUCACUGUUAGACUCUUACUCUUCACAAUUUAUUAGAGACAAAAUCGGUAAAUAAGUAUUUUACUUAAAAAUUUAUAUAAUGUAUAUCAAUUUUUAAUACAACAAACCAAAUAUUCAAAAAUAAUAAUAAUUUAUAAGUAAUUAAUUCAUGUAUAACUAAUACUUACAUAACUAAUCCCUACAUUACUUAUUUCUCUGUAACUAUCGGCGAAAUAGAACCCUUUUUUAAUUUGCACGCUUAAGAAGCAUUAGUUAAAAGGCAUCAAGAAUCUAGGUUACACCCUAGCCAACAUGAAGUAAAUAGGGUAGGCAUCAAGAUUCAAGAGUUAAACAAGACGAAAGAAAUUGGUUAAACAUAUUAAUUAGCAUCUUACAACUAAUUUAAUGCGAGUCACAACUUAAAAAAUUAAUUUGUUAUAAUUUUUUUGUGUUAAUUUUAGUUUAAUAUUACAUUUGUUCCAGAAAGAAUGUAUUAUUUACUUAUUAGUCCAUUAGAAAAAGAAUAGCUUUCUAAAUUUAAUUUUAAAACAAUUGAAUGUGAACUUUCAAUUAUAUCUUCGAUUAGAGGGCGGAUCCAGGAUUUAGAUUCCGUGUGUUCAACUUUUAAACUUUUUAGAAUUGUACCCGUUGUAUUUUUAAAGUUAUGGGUUCAGACCGUAUACCACUUGUUGUAAUUUUAAUGAUUUUUUACACAUAAAUUUAUGUUCUGCGACGAAAGUACUAAGUUCAGAUAAACCCGACGGCCAUACUCUACAUCCGCCCCUAUCUUCGAUGCAGACUUUUAUAGACACACAAAUUUAACGACAUACAAGUAAAUAGUACCAAAGUGAAAAGAAGAAAGUGAAUCUCACUAAGGACCAGCCCUUUCUUGGAGGCUUUCUAGCAUUUGAGAUCAAUCAACUCAAUGGAAAAAAUUGUAAUAAGAAAUUUGACGGCUCCCCUUAUGUUUUGAAAAGAUAAUUUAGGGCUCCAUUUAUUUUAUUAUAGAAAAGGCUGAAUCUUUAACUGGUCAAGAGGCUUUCUAUUUAUGACCUAUAGUUAAAAUUGCAAUAAAAAAUCUGACGGUUUCCGCGUUGUGUUUAGAGAAUAUAAUUUAGGGCUCAAUUUUUUAUUAUUGUAGAAAAGGCUGAAUCUUCAACUGGUCAGAGACUUUCUAUUUACGACUUAUAGUUUUGACGUCUUUUAUUAGUUUAUGUACAUACACUGCAAUGCAAAAGUUUUCUUUUGGCCCUUGAUAUCUAAGUAAAGUGUACGUCCGCUGUCAAGUAUCCUUUUGUUUUGACUGGAAUAUUCGAUUUUUGACUAUUGUACAACACGAGAUUUCGUAAUUUUAUAAGGAACUAUUCGUACGGAACGUUGGGUUGCCAAAUUUUUCUAAACUGUUGAUUUUGACUGAAAAGGUUAAACUUCAACUACUCAAAUUCGAUGGUGCAUCACUCAGCAUCGGAGAUUCGACAAAGCUUCGGGUGGUCGAGUGUUUUAGUUAGGGUAGCACAAAUCGAACCGAAUAAUCGUACCAAAUCAAAAGUCAAAUUAAAUCGAUAAAAGAACACGAUUAAGUUUGGUUUGAUUAAGUUUGACAUUAAGUAAAAAAAUUCGAACCAAACCGAUAUAUAAAUUUAAAUUUUUAUAUAUACAUUUAAGACUUAAUAUAGAAUUUUCUUUAGAAAAAUAUCUAAAAAUAUUUGGGAUCUCUUAUGGGAUGUAAUAUUUAAAUUGAAUAUAAAGUGUUCCAUUUUUAUUUACUUUAAAUAUUGGAUUGUGUCUUCACUUUCUUAUCAAAUGUUAUUGAAAUGCGUCAAUCUCUUUGUUCUUCCAUGUAAAUUCUUAAAAGAAAAUUCGAAUCUGAAAUAGUAUUUUCAUAAUAUAAAUUUAAAUAGAACAUAUCAUUAUUUAGGUAUCAUAUUGAUUUUUUAUGUUUAUUAUAAAAUUCAGUUAAUUUUGAAAGCGUACAUCAACAAAAAAUUAUUUAAUAAAUCAUAUGUUUGUUUAUUUUUAAAAUUUUUACUAAACAUAUAUUUACUUAUCAAAACUUCAACAAAAUAAUAUUGAACUAAUAUUCAUGUAACAAAAAAAUCCCGAAAAAUCCGAAAAAAUCGAACCAAUCUAAAUCGAUAUAGAUGGUUUGGUUUGGUUUUGAUAAAAAUCGAACUAACCCAGCCCAUAUACACACAUAAUUUUAGUAUUAAAAAGAUACUACUUUUUUUAUAUUUAAAACAAAAGAGUACUAAUUAAAAAAUCAUUUACAACUUGUUUGGAUGGUUGUUACCUGUCGUAUUAUAAGAUAUUGUUACUUUAAAUAUAAUAUUUAUUUUCAUUAUUAAUUCGUCAUUACGUAACGACGAAAAUUGUCACUUUAUGGAAUGACCGAUUUGGUGUGGUCGCGUCGUUUCUUAUUUUUUUCUCUCAUCUUGCCCUUUUUUAUUAUUAAAGAAAAUUAUAUUUUAUUUUUUAUCCUACUUUUUUAUAUAUAAUAAGAUUACCUCUUACCUUACUUUUUCUUUAUAAUAUUGCAAGUUUAUUCUUCAUAUUGUUAGAACGACGGGAAACAAUACAAUAUAUCCAAAUAUUAUAUAAAUCAAGAUGAUAAAUUAUAAUACAAUAAUACUACGAUACAUUAUGAAACGAUACAUAACAACCAUCCAAACAAGCUGUUACAUAGAUACAUCCUCUAGCUUUAUUUAGAGAAAAAAACAAUUUUGCCUCUAACUGUUCGAGGGAAGACAUAUCCAUUUUAUAUAUUUAUUGUUUUUGCUUCAAAAGACUAUAUCAAUAAUAAAAGUAGCAUAUUUAUAUUAUUUGGCACUUUUCUAGUAUGCUUUGUCCCUUGUUAGUCAUGAACAUAGUGUUUCAUUGAAAGGGGAAUAUUCUUUUUUGGCUGAGAAGGGAAAUAUUAUAGGAGUAUAUAUUUAAGCAUCAUUACAAAGGAGGAUAUUCAAAAUGAUAACUCCUUUUGUUCCAUUUUAUAUUCAUUCUUUCAUUUUUACCUGUUAAAAAAAAUGAUACAUUAAAUAUUUGAAAUAACUUAACUAUAAACUUUCAUUUUACAUAAAUGACAAAUUUUUAUUGUCACAUAAAUAUUAUGGUAUCUUUGAGAUCACAAGUUCCAAAAUGUCUUCUAUAGUUUAGGAAAUAUCAAUUGUUUUCUUAUGCAAAAGUCGACAAUAUUACUUCUUUAACAAGACUCCGACACAAACAGCCUCAAUUUUAGUACUAUUUAUAUCUAUAAGAGAAAGUUUAAAAUUAUUUAUAUGAAAAUUGAAAACCUAACCAGAUACGCUUAAGUUUAAACUUGUAUCGUAUAAUUAACUUUUGUUUUAAAAUUAAAAAAUACUUAAUAACUACUCUCUCCGUUUCAAUUUAUGUGGACCUGUUUGACUGGGCACGGAGUUUAAGAAAAAAUGAAAACUUUUAGAAUUUGUGUUCCUAAACAAGUCAGAAAGGUGUUCAGAGUAUUUGUGUGGUUAUAAAAGUUUCUCAUUAAGGGUAGAAUUGAAUGUUUAAGCUACAUUGUUUUCAAAUUUAAAAAUGGGUCAUUCUUUUUUAAACGGACCAAAAAGAAAAUAGGUUCACAUAAACUGGAACGGAGGAAGUAUAUAACUAUACAUGUGCAUCAAUCAUCUUUUUGCUAAUAAGGAUACAUAUAUAUUAAAGUUUAAACAGUAAUAUUAUUACAAAGUGGAACCAUUUGUGGUACAGUAACGUGUGAAUGGUCCUUAUUGAAAGCAACUAAAAUAAAGGGUGGGGGAGACAUAAAAUAUAUUGGACUCCACUGCAAUUGUCCUUUAGAAAGAGUUAAGAGCAUGCCAUGUUUCGCCAGAUCCAGUAUAAGUCCGGUGUGGACAGUUGAUCAAGAAGGAGGUGAGGUAUAAAGAUUGUAUGUCGAUGUAGCGGAGAAGCCUUUAUGGGAAAAACCCAGGAUAGUGUAUCGUUACGGUUAAGGGAUUGGUGAAAGUAUGUAUUAUUGAUUAGGCGGAGGAUGUUGCAGGGCAAUUAAAAUGAGAUUGGAGAGAUAUUCCAUUGGCCUUGGGCGAGAAGAGUAUUAAUUGUGAGGGUAGAUUCUGAAUAAGUUAGUGGACCUUGGGUAAGACUUCGGAGAGAACAGUGGUUUGGUAGCCAAAUGUCAAUCCAUACAUUGAUGAGUGAUCCAUUACCUCCCUGCCAUUUGAUAGCUCGUGUGGAGAGGGAGUAGCCUUUAAUUGGGGAUUUUCAUAUGAAGGAAGCGUCGAUUUUGGAUGUAAGAGUGUUAUGGUGUACUGGUUGGUGCUGAUAUUUGGCUCUAAGGAUCUAUGCCCAGAGGGUGUAUAAAGUUUGGCGAAAGCGCCAAGCUAGUCCUGCAAGGAGUACCAUAUUUUUGCCUAUAGUUUUUUGAAUACCCAGGCCGCCUUGUUGUUUUGGCAGGGAAACUUGAUUCCAUUUGACUAAAUAUAGGCGUUGCUUUUCGGUAGUAGUACCCCAGAGGAAGUUCCGUUGUAUUUGAUCUAUAUGGUUGAUAAUAUUUUGAGGUAGAAGAUUAUUUUGCAUAAACAUAAGUUGGAAUUAGGCUAAAAUAGAUUGUAUAAGUGUUGUGCGACCUAGCAGGUUGAGAAAUUUUAUUUUCCAGUCUUGGAGGUGAUUGCGUAUUUGGUCAAGGAGGUAUUGGUAAUUUGCACUCUUUGGUUGGUGUGAGGUAAUGGGUAAACCUAGAUAUUUACCCAUAGUGGAGGUUGCACGUAUGCCAAAGAUAGCAGAGAUAUAUUGGCGAGUAUUGCGCGAGGUAUUGGGUAAGAAGAUAAUUUUUGAUUUAACAUAAGUAAUUUUUUGGCAAGCUAGAAUACCAAAGCGUUGGAGGAUGUAGUGAAUGGUAGAUGCAUUAUGGACAUCCGCUUUAGCAAAAAGAAUUAAAUCAUCGGCAAACAUGAGAUGAGAGAUUGUAGGACCAUUGCGAGAGAUCUUAAUGGGGUCCCACUUCUUGGUGUCGGUGGCAUGUAAGAUAAUUCGAGUAAGUGUUUCCAUACAUAUAAUGAAGAUAUAGGGAGAUAGGGGGUCACCAUGUCGGAUACCUCUUGUUGGGGAGAAGAAAGGUAUUGGUUUGCCGUUAACGAUAAUGGAGAUGGAAGAUGUAGAAAUGCAGUUCAGAAUGAGUCUAAUUAAGGAGGGUGAAAAAUUAAGGCUAGUGAAGGAAGAGUGGACGAAGGACCAUUCGAUGCGAUCAAAGGCUUUCUCAAGGUCAAUUUUGAUCAACAUAUGACUCGUAGUGCCUUUUUGUUUGUUGAAGGGGUGUACUGAUUCUUGCAAAAUGAUUGUAUUUCAAAUGGCGCGUCGCUCGGGAAUGAAACUAAUAUGGUAUGGGAUAAUUAAAGUGGAGGGGUAUGGGCAAAUAUGGUUGACAAUAAUUUUAAUAAUUAUUUUGUAGAUGGUGUUGCAGAGGCUGAUAGGGAUUGGGUAAUGCAUUUUGGUUUUUUACCUCUGGAAUUAAGGAAACAUAGGUUUGGUUAAGUUUUUUUUUUUUGGGAGGAGGGGAGAGGGGUAAUAGGGAGGUGUAAAAUAUAUCUGUGCAAAAUCUGAUGAUUGCUUCUUUGGUUUCAAGCCAGUAUUUUUGGAAGAAAAUCGGAUGAAAACCGUCUAGGCCUGGUGCCUUAAGUGGUUUUAAGGAGUAGAGCGCUUGUAGGAUUUCAGCUCCAGCUAAAGGCCGAUUGAUGAGGAAAGAAGCUUCUAGGGAAAGGGCCUGCGGUGCAUGAACCGCUGUUUGUUUUAGAGUUAGAAAAAGUUUAAUGGUGUAUGAAAGUGAGUGAUGAUGAGGGUUGUUAUUUGGACAAGAUUCAGGACCCAAUUACCCACCAUAUCGUGGAGAUAUGAGUUUUCCUACGACGGUGGACUGUACUAAAAUAAAAAUAUUUUGUAUUGGCAUCACCUCCGUGAAGGCUUUGGAUGCGCGAUUUAAGUUUCCAAGAGUCUUCUUUAUUUUUUAGAAGGAUAUUAAAUAGAUAAAUGACUGUAUGUUCUAAGUGUAAAUGGUAGUUAGUCUUAGAGUAUGGGUUCAUUUUUUGAAUUCCAUCAAUUCUUGAUUGGAGGAUGUUCAUUUGAUGAAAGAUAUUCCCAAAGUAAGAGUGUUUCCAACUUUUAAUCAGUUUAGUAAAAUGGGCAUAGGUAGGUAAAUAAUCAAUGGUAGUGGAUCAAAUAUUGUGUCCGAUACAUUAAAAAUCAGGAUGGGUGAGCCACGUGGUCUCAAAUUUAAAGCCCGUAAUGCUUCGUGAGGUUGCACGUGCAAGAUUAGUAGAAGGGGAAGUGGUCAGAGUGUGUGCGUGGUAGGAGUAAUACAGAUGAAUCUUGGAAGAGUCAUAGCCAAUCAGAGUUAGCUAAAAAUCUAUCAAGCCUCUCUAGAAUAAGUCUGUGUUGUAACUUGCAUUUAUUAGUCCAUGUGAAACGUGAACCACUGUAACCUGUCAUGCAUACCUAUACGUUGUAAGCAUUCCAGAAAAGCAUUUAUUCUGGUGUUAUUGACUUGGUUGCCUUCAAACUUUUCGGAUCCAGUGGUUACUUCAUUAAAAUUACCACAAAGUACCCAAGGGCCAGUAACAGUGUUAUGAAAAUGUUUAAGAUUAUCCCAUAGACGAAGUCUAUUUGUUAAAGAUGUACUCGCAUAUACAAUAUAAAAAAUCCACAUAGGAGAGGACAAACAUACUUUGAUGGUUGUAUGCAUUUCUUGAUCUGUAACAACAAGUGGGUCAACGUCUACCUCAUCUCCCUUCCACAUAACUACUAUGCCGCCUGAAAAACCUUGUGCCCUUACCUGUAGAAGACUAGUGAAGCCAAGUGUCCAUGAGAGGUUCAUGUUCAUAUAAGCGUGUUUCUUUGAGCGCCAAGACAGUAGGGUUAUUCCAUUAUAGUAUGACGUUGAUGUUACGCUUAAAAGUGGGAUUUUUGGCUCCCCUGCAAUUUCAUAAGAGAAAUGUCAUUUUAUUGUAUGGUCGAAUUCGCUCCGGGAGCUAGGGAUAUCGUAAGAUGUGUGGUCAUGAGGGGAAGGUUCUCCUCGUGGUCAUGUUUAGUUGAGCUGUAGGCUAGAGCAGGAUGUUUUCCUCCCCCCCUGGUGGUAGCGUCUGUAUAUUGUUCAGGAAUAUAACUACAGAUUGCUCCGGGAUAGUCAUCGGGAGAGCUCGUAUAUUCAGUGAGACUUCGUUGACUUCAUGGAUGCCUUACACAAAGAUCUUUUCUCUUGAUUUUUGAUUUUCUAAUAUAGUGAGAGUUAGAGGUCUUCAACUGAUAUGAUUCUGUUUGUUUCUCGUGGGUGUUUGGUAGCGGGGUAUCUGUCAUGCCCCGAAUGCGGGGAGCGCGACCGGCGCUCAACCGAGAUAACCCGAUCAAGCAAGCCUACUAGAUACUUUCUACCCGCACUUACCCAAGAAUAAAGUGAAGACAUAUUUCAUUAGACCAUGAGAAGAUCAUAUGAGAGACACUAAUUCAUUACCAUUAGUUACAUCAUUUAUAAGUCUCCAAAAUAUUACAUUACAUAUUCAUAGUUUAGAAGUGGAACAUGUGAUACAAAUACAACAUUCUAGUUUGACUUUUUCAACAUGAAUAUAUAACUCACACUAUGUCUACGGAGCCUCUAACGGAUAUAAAAGAGUACUGUGAUAGUUCCGGCAAUAAGGCUCUGGCUAUACCUCAAAACACUAUACAUAGAUGACAAAAGAUACAAGACCCCAAGAAGUAGCGGGGCUCAUCAAGUCAGUUGAGGAGAGGGUGUACUGCUAUCAAUGAUCAACGCCGCCUGUUGUGAAACCAACUGUAUCCAUUAAAGAUGCAUCGCCCCCGACAAAAGGGACGUUAGUACAUAUGGAAUAGUACUAGUAUGUAAGGCUAAACACCCUCUCUCAAUAGAACGAGUAAAAGUAUAAUGAGAAACAAUUAUAGGAUCAAAAUGAAAGCCUCAAAUAAUACCAAUGCAUCAAGUUAGGAGCAAGAUAAGUUUCCAAGUAAACUUUAAUGUUUUAGGUUGGGAGAUCUUUAGUACCGAUAUACCACCGUUACUUUAGCACGAUGUCUGAUCACGGUCCGAUCGGCUAGGCCAUCUCAUCCAAUGACAAUCACAAUCACCACUAUAUGCGGGCAUGGCAUCUAAUCUCGACCCGAUCGGCUAGGCCGUCUUACCACAAUGCCGUAUGGAUCGACAUCACCCUUCACUAGCAAUUAUCUCGUCCCAAUUAAGGGAAAUAAUCUCAGCACAUCAAUCUCAUCCUAUUUAAGGGGAAUAUUCUCAACAUAUCAGUACAGGGAUUUACCCCUCAAUCACUCCUAUACCGGCACGUGUAGUUUCGGAGUUAGGCCAUUUCAACCUACCCUUCCUCGGUGACUAACGAUACUCCCAAAAUUUUUAUUAUAAAAAAGGAUUUUCAGCUCAAUUCAUAGCCUUUUACACCUUUCAUUUCAUUGGCACUAGUGGCCACAAAUGCAAUAUCAUUCUUUGCACGUCGGCCAUAUUUCAUAUUUCAUGCUCACCCCUUCACUUUCAAAUAUGAUCAUGGGUUAUCAACACCAAGGCAUCUCUAAUCACGAUUUUUAGUACAUAUAUGAGAAAAUAAGAGUCUUAGGCGCAUUGAGUUUUCUUCCACAAUUUGGCAUAAUAACUUGCAAUUGAAACAUCAUUGAAUUCAUAAUAUUUUGAUACAUAACCCAUACUUUGAACACAUUCCCUAAGGAUAACAUAAUAUGAUAAGAGCAUUCAGAACAUAUUUUGAACAUAUAUCUUUCGACGCAAAGUUUAUUCGAAAUAGUUAAAUUUAUAUGGAAUAACUCGGAACAUGAGACAUAAGAGCUCGAGCCAAUCAUAAUUACAACUUACGAGGACAUCAUGGAUUCGAUUCUACAAGAGGAGUUUAUCCAACAUACCUCGCUUUGAGCUUUCCUUAAAUUACUGCAAUAUUCCAGAAAUCCUAGCAACUUUGAUCUAUUUAUAGACAUGAUAAAUUUGAAUCAUAAUUAGUAGGAUAAUCAUAGGUUCAGCUCACUUAACUAUUUUAUCAAGCAUUAGGUGUGUAUUAUGAUUUCAUGGUUCUCCUAUGGUGGAUUCCUUCAUCCCACAAUCCAAUAUUUACCCAUUUGAGCUCAACAACCUUCCCACAAACUUUGAUGGUACAUGCAUGCAUAAAUAACACUCUUAUACCUAAGAAUCACAGUCCCAAUUACCCAUCUCCUACCCCAAAUUCGAAAUGGAAAGCUAGAGGUAGAACCUUACCUCUUGGAUGAAGACCUUGUGAGUUUUCCUUGUUAAAUUUCAAAGCUUGGGCAAUGAUUGAUGAACAAAACACUUGGGGAUUCCUCCUCUCUCUAUAGAACACUCUAUUCUCUCUAAAAUGGCAGUUUAGACCAGCCAAAACAACCCUAAGGUGAAUUUUAUAAAAAUGGGAUCGAGUGAAAUUUUCCCAAACUUAAACUUACGAAACCGAGUUUGCGGUCGUAUACCGAACUGCAAAAUAAUUAUGCGGCACGCAAAAGGGAUCACAAAAAUGGUCCCAAAAAUUGGGUAGGUCUGGACAGGUCAGCGGCCGUUAUGCGGCUCGCAGAACGGUUAUGCUGUUGUAUAAUGCAUCGCGAAAUCUCCCUCCGAAAAUCUUCAUGAAUGUUCUGUGACGGAUUAUGGAGCCCAUGAAAUGAUUAUGCGGCCGCAUACUCGACCUCAAAUGAUCUUCAAAAAUUGGCUCAAGUUUUGUUGCAGUCUGCGGCUAAUCUGCGGUCCAUGAAAAGGUUAAGCGGUCGCAUAGUGGACCGCAGAAAUGCCAUGUUCUGCAAAAUAUUUCCUUCAUUUCCCCGAUGUACUGUACAACCUAAAAUGUUUGUACUCCUCAAAUAUAUUAGCCUACCUCGGCACCACAAAAUCUCGAGUUUUAGUAAACCUUUACGGGGCCUUACAUCCUCCCUCACUUAAGAUCAUUCGUCCUCGAAUGAGGGUCAAAGUUCACCAUUAGCAUCCAAUGUGACUCAACUGUUACUUCACACACCAACAGUUCCAAAUUUUGACUAACUCCCAAAUAUUUCAAAAGUUUCACUAGAGAUUCCCUUAUAACUAGGCUACCUGCAUGUGAGAGAAUCCUAGAACCAAUCCUAAUAGCAUAUACAUAACCCAACGACGUAAAAUAACCUGAAAACAACACCAACCGUGGCCUCAUAAGCAAUAUAUUUCUAGAAAGGAACACCCUUAACAUCAAUUAUACAAGUGGUACCUAAUUCAUAGAAGGUAAUCUCUUAACAUUUUCAUAGAACACAACUACUUAACUACAUAGCUAUUCAAACAAAUGAGGGUACUUCUUCUUCAUCUCUUCCUCGGCCUCCUAGGUGGCCUCUUCAACCUGCUAGUUUCGCCAUAGCACUUUCACGGAGGCAAUCUCUUUCUUUCUCAGCUUUCGGACCUGCCUAUCAAGAAUGGCAAUUGGAAUCUCCUCAUUAGUCAAUUUCUCAUUAACCUCAAUAGUCGCAAUUGGAACAAUGAGUGCCGAGUCUCCAACUACCUUCUUCAACAUAGACACAUGAAGCACCGGGUGUACUAAGGAAUAUUUGGAGGUAACCCAAGCCUGUAAGCCACCUGACCAAUCCUCUGAAUGAUUCUAUAUGGUCCAACAUACUUUAGACUCAAUUUCCCUUUCUUACCAAACCACAUUAUACCCUUCAUGGAGGAAACCUUUAAGAAUACCCAGUUAUCCUCUUUGAAUUCCAAAUCCUUGCGACGCACAUUCGAAUAGGACUUCUGACUACUAUGAGUAGUUUUCAACCAUUCCGUAAUGAUCUUAACCUUCUCCAUAGCCUGAUGCACGAGGUCUAGCCCUAUUAACUAUGCUUUCACUAUCUCAAACCAUACAAUGGGAGAUCUAUAUCUCCUACCAUAUAAAGCCCCAAACAGUGACAUCUGAAUGCUAACAUGGUAACUGUUGUUGUAGGCAAAUUCUAUGAGUGGCAAAUUAUUAUCCCAGCUACCCUUGAAGUCAAGAACACAAGCGUGCAACAUAUACUCAAGUGUUUGAAUAGUCUUCUCUGCUGCCCGUAGGUCUGUGGAUGAAAGGAUGUACUAAGAUUUACCUGAGUACCCAAACCUUGCUGAAAUUUCCUCCAAAAGUUAGCUGUGAAUUGUGCCCCUCGAUCUGAGAUGAUAGAAUCCGGAGUGCCAUGCAACCUGACUGUUUCCUUGAUAUACAACUAAGUAUACUGUUCCACUGUGUCGGUAGCCUUAAUAGGUAAGAAGUGUGCUAAUUUCCUUCUUCAAUCCACAAUCACCCAAAUCAAGUCGAACUUGCGAGGAGUGCGAGGGAGUCCUACCACAAAGUCCGUAUUGAUCAUAUCCCACUUCCACAUUAGAAGUUUUAUGUUUUGUGCCAACCAACCGGGCCUUUGGUGUUCGGCCUUCACUUACUGACAAUUUAGACAUCUUGCCACAAAGUCUGCUACAUUCCUCUUCAUAUCAUUUCAUAAGUAGACUUCCUUAAGAUCAUGAUACAUCUUUGUAGAGCCCGAGUGCAUGGAAUACCUAGAAUUGUGAGCCUCCGUCAUGAUUCUUUCCCGGAGACCAUCUUCAUUUGGAACACAUAAUCUCCCUUGGUACCUUAGUGUACCAUCAUCCAUGCCAAGAGAAAAAGCCAUGGCCUUAUGUUUAUGAAUCCCCUCCUUAAACUAUACCAAUAACAUAUUAUCAUAUUGCUUCUCCUUGACUUUCACAACAAGCGAUGAUUCAGCCCUAUUUUGUACAAUCACCCCUCUUUCACUAGAAUCUGCAAGACGAACUCCCAAACUAGCUAACCGAUGAACCUCCUUGGCUAGUGGCCUUUUAUAUGCCUCCAAAUGAGCCAAACUACCAAUAGAUUUCCGGCUAAGAUCAUCCGCCACAAUAUUAGCCUUCCUUGGAUGAUAUACAAUGUCAAUGCCGUAGUCACUGAGUAACUCAAGCCAUCUCUCUGCCUCAGGUUCAAUUUCUUUUGUUUGAAAAUAUAUUGAAGGCUCUUAUGGUCCGUGAAUAUAUCCACAUGGACCCCAUAUAAGCAAUGACGCCAAAUCUUCAAUGCAAAUACCACCGCCGCAAGUUCUAAGUCAUGUGUUGGAUAGUUCCUCUCAUAAUUCUUGAGUUGCCUAGAAGCAUAAGUGAUUACCUUGCCAUGUUGCAUUAAUACACACCCAAGUCUGAUCCUUGAAGCAUCACAAUACACCACAAAUCCAUCUGUACGCUCUGGUAGGGUCAACACCAUCACCGUAGUCAAUCUUGAUUUCAACUCUUGGAAGCUCUUUUCAUAAGCGUCUAACCAUUGGAACUUAACAGCCUUUUGCGUUAAUUUAGUCAACGGAGAGGAAAGAGUAGAGAACCCCUCCACAAACUUCCUGUAAUGCGCAGCUAAGCCUAAGAAACUACGAAUCUCUAUUAGAGUUGUAGGUCUAGGACAAUUCUUCAUUGCUGCAACCUUCUGAGGGUCAACCUUAAUUCCUUCUUUGGAGACAACAUAACCCAAGAAUGUGACGGAUUCAAGACAAAAUUCACACUUCGAAAACUUCGUAUACAACUUAUGCUGAUACAGAGUCUGCGGAACUGCCCUUAGAUGAUCGGCAUGGUCCUCUCAAAUUCGUGAAUAUACAAGAAUAUCAUCGAUGAACACUAUCACAAAGGAGUAAAGGAAAGGCUUGAAGACACGAUUCAUAAGAUCCAUGAAAGCUCCCGGGGCAUUUGUUAGCCCAAAAGACAUCACCAGAAACUCAAAGUGCCCAUACCAGGUCCUGAAAGUUGUUUUCGGAAUAUCCUGCUCCCUGAUCUUCAAUCGGUGAUACCCGAAUCUUAAAUCAAUUUUGUAGAAAUAACCCAUUAGGUGAACACCAUGAAAUUUGUCAAACAAGUAAUCUAUCCUUGGCAGUGGGUACUUAUUCUUGAUCGUGACCUUGUUGAGCUGCCGAUAGUCAAUGCACAUUUUCCAUGACUGAUCAACGUCCAAUCCACACUCAACAGUGAGUGGAAAUGGCCAUUGGAAGAAUAGUAUCCAACAAGAGUCGGGGUCGAUUUCCAUAGGGAGUUACUAUGGGUGUUAGAAGUAUACACUUGAUGAAAGCGUAUGGAAUGACUUAAUCGCACUUAUAUAAAACCCAUCUCGUAUAUAUAAAUAAAACUACAAUAUAAUAGUUCUGAUUACAUCAUUCUCGUGACGUUAACUACCCAACUGAUCAGUGAUAACUGCCUGACCGACCGUAGCGCGGUGGUAAAUGCAUGACUGCCCGACCUGCCGUAGCUCGGUGGUAAAUGUGUAACUGCCCAACCGGCCGUAGCUCGAUGGUAAAUGCAUGACUGCCCAACCGGCCAUAGCCCGGUGGUAAAUAUGUAUGCAUGUCUGCCCAACCGGCCGUAGCACGGUGGUAAAUGUACGAAGAUGCAUGUAUCACUAUAUUAUAAACAUUAACAUUAUGUUUACGUAUCGUUACUUGGAUCAUGCCAAAAGAAAGAAGGAUUAGCCUUAACAUACCUUUAAUGUCAACUUCCUUACUUGUAUUUGUGAACAAUCUCCUCAAUCUUGUAUGCCAAAACUAGUCUUCUUCCACCUUACUUCAUUACGAAGAAAUCUCCAAAUUUUUAUCAUCUUGAGGAAACGAUAUGGAAAUACACAUCUAUGUUCUUCACGGUUUGCUUUAAUGCAAAGAGAUAUAUCUACCUUUGUAGCUCAAAUUUCUCAAGGGCCAUUUCUAAUCUUGUUGAGAAGAAGAAAAUAAAUGUAUUUUUCUUGUUAAAAACGUUGCUUGUGAUAUAUAUGUCAUAAGUGUAUCAAAAAGUGAAUGAGUGGAUAGUGGGGUCCACCUUAUUUGCCACCAUUUUGAAAUAUUGUGACAUGUGGUAUAGAUGUCACUAUCUAACACAUAUUAGUUACACAUCAUUUUGGAAUGGGGGGAGGGGGGCUGCCACGUUAGGCCUUAUAGGCCUUAUCCAAACUUUUAAUUAAUCUCCCACUAAAAUCAUUAAUUAUCCAAUUAUUCACAUAAUUAAGAAUUAUCUCAAAUUACUUAAAAUACUACUCACUUUUAAUACACUUUAUAUAUCUUACUAUAAUAUACUUUACUAUCAUGGUCGUGUGGCAUAUUGUAUAGCACUAAUCCAUAAAUACGAGAUAUUAUAGCUUGGAUCGUAUUUUAUCACAAAAUGUCAAACUUCGGAGAUACUCAAUUUCUUCGAUUCGUUAACCCUCUGACCUUUAUAACAUUUACUUAUCACUUGUUACAAAUAGCGUAAAUGCUUAUAACCUCCAAAAUAAUCUCAUUCCCGAGUCUACGUCGAUUAACUUACGAAAAAACUUUAACGUACGAAAUACGGGAUGUAACAUCCUUCCCCCCUUAGAAACAUUCGCCCUCGAAUGUUUAAACUUGAAAUAUGUACAUAACAUACUCAUCAAUUAUAAAUGUAUAUAUCACCCCGGGCUAUACUUAUACUCCAAUGAAACAAAUAUUAGGCUCUCACGGGGUCAGGACGUCGUCCCUCCAUAAAACUACUUCUUAAUCCAUUCGUCGCCUACGAUUAUGUUAAUCUAUCUUCUAGGCACUGACAGCUACUAGUUGUAAUCUUAAUAACCGGGUUAACAACUUUCUAUUCCAUUAUACUAACUUUCCCAAAAUCUUGCGCACUAUAUGAUGUUUCCUCCCUUGGGCGUUAGAGCUAUCAGAGUACUAACUUCUUAAUGUCCUAGGUUACUCCCCUUUCCUCCCUUGGUCCACUAUCACCGGGUUCUUACUUUUCUUUCUAGCUAGCCUUGGUUUCCCCAACCCUUCAGACGUAAUGCCAACUCACUCUUAUAUUAAUCAUAUUAACUGGGCAAUUUGCGUUAAUAAGAUCGAACAUUACGCAUAGUCACAGUACCUGACACAUCAUUCGGUGUAGCCUCUGGUUCUUGAUGACCUGCCAAAGCAUAUAUGCGGUUCUGACUCCCGCCGAAGCUAGAUGCUCCACCCCUGCCUCUACCUCUACUAGUUGAUGCCUGAGGGCCUCGCUCUAGAGGGCGUACUGAAGAGGAGGAGACUGUUAUAGAUCUGGUGUGUUGAACCAUCCUGCUUCUGUCCUUCAUAGGACAAUCCCUCAUGUAAUGACUAGGGUCUCCACAGGUAUACCAUACGUUAGAUCCCAGACGACAUUGUCCAUAAUGAGCUCUACCGUAUUGACUGCAUCGCGGAGGAGGCGCCCUCAUCUGUGCUGAAUCCCUCUGAUUCUGAAAACCCAAAAUUCUCGAGCCCUGACCUGAUUCAAAAUAGACAGAUCCCUAGUAAUGCGGCCUCUGCAACUGUCGGACACUAUCAAUAGGAUAUGGUGGUAUAGGAUCGCCCGGAAAAUCCUCAGGUUGUCUAGCAGACCUAGCCUUCUUAUGCUGACCCUCAUCACGAUUCUCAUAUUUGAUCUUCCAAAUUCUGAUCAUAAGCCUGGAUGCGGGAAAUAUCCAUACUAUCGAGCAGAGCGGCCGUGAAACACUCAUUAAUCAGGUGCGGCCCAAGUCCUACAACAAACCGAUGCACUCGGUCACUCAUCUCAGCCACAAUAGAGGGGGCAUACCUCGCCAAGGAAUCAAACUGGAGACUAUACUGCCGCACACUUAUAUUCCCUUGUUUAAGAGCCAAGAACCUGUCUACCCUUGCCCGACGAAUCCCUGCUGGCAAGUAAUGAUGCAAGAAAGCUCCCGAGAACUCUUCCCAUACCGUUGGAGGUGCAUUUGUCCCUCUAGACAAUUCCCAAGUUUCAUACCACUGAACCGCAACUUCCCGCAAUCGGUAAGAGGCCAACUCUACUGACUCAGUGUCUAAUAUAUGCAUCACCCUCUAAGUCUUCUGCAUCCUAUCAAUAAAGUUUUGUGGGUCCUCAUCCUUGUUGGAACCGGUAAACACUGGAGGGUCCAGGUUGAUCAAGUCUCGAACUCUCGCGCUAGUAACCCUGUCAAUAUAACCAAUACCUGUACCUACAUGGCGCUGAGCCUGAGCGGCUACCAAUCUAGUCAACAAUCGUACUGUACUUCGUAUAUCCAUAUCCUCAUCAUGAAUAAUAAGUGGAGGUACUGGGUUCCUCCUCAUCUCCUCGGGUACUGGCGAAAUCGGAGAACUAUGCGAGGGUGUCAUAUUUCCCAUCGGGGCCUCACUCUGGCCUUCACUAGACAUUGGUACUCUACUCAUGCCUUCAUCUGCCACUGCUUUACCUUUCUGACUAGCUGUAGCUUUCCUGGUCAUAGGCAUCGCUAUAUAUAUAAAAAAAGUCAAAGGUCAAGGGCUUUAUUCCCUACGACUCUGCACUAUUUCAUGAUCUAAUAUCAAGAAGGAAGGGUAACCGAUCCCUAAAUGCCCUGUAGUUUCCUGUUUAUACAACGUGGUGCACAACACAUUUAUAAACAAGACUCUACUAGACACGACUUGUAGACAACCCUAGGAUAGAUCCGCUCUGAUACCAAGUUUGUCAUGACCCAAAUCGGAGGGCCACGAAUGGCACCCGGUGCCUACUCAAUCGAGCGCCACGUACCUUAUCCUUCUUUUACUAUAAGACUCAUCACGGCUCAUGAUAGGCCACAUCUAUAUAUAUAAUUAACAAUAUUAGAACUUACCUCACGUAACUAAUUCAAAAAGAUUUAUAUAGAUACAUAGGGGAUGACAAGGCCGUUGACAUGUCAUACCUAAAACUAUACAUAGAACACUGUCUACAAAACCUCUAAGAAAACAUGACCAUAAUAUAUAAGUCGGGACAGGGUUCCCGACAUCCUCAUAAAACAAAAUAACAUAUAUAGAACGUGAAUCGGCAAUACUCCAAGAAGAAGUGGAGCUCACCAACCAAAAGCUGAUAUCUGGAGGCAGUUUAUAGUAGAGGGUCCUCACCUCGCCUAUCUACACCUGUGUGGCAUGAAACACAGCGCCCCAGGAAAAGGGAUGUCAGUACGAAGAAUGUACCGAGUAUGUAAGGCAGAAAUAAAAUGUAAUAAUAAGAUACUAUCUCGGGGAGGGAUAAGAGUCAACUUAUAAAUUAUGACUUGCUGCUGAGGGCCAUAACAUAUAGAAUAAAACCCAUCUCGUAUAUAUAAAUAAAACUACAAUAUAAUAGUUCUGAUUACAUCAUUAUUGUGACGUUAACUACCCAACUGAUCAAUGGUAACUGACUGACCGGCCGUAGCACGGUGGUAAAUGUAUGACUGUCUGACAAUCCGUAGCUCGGUGGUAAAUGUAUAACUGCCCAACCAGUCGUAGCUCGGUGGUAAAUGUAUGACUGCCUGACCGGCCGUAGCUCGGUGGUAAAUGUGUAUGCAUGUCUGUCCAACCGGCCGUAGCAUGGAGGUAAAUGCAUGAAGAUGCAUGUAUCACUAUAUUAUAAACAUUAACAUUACAUUUACAUAUCGUUACUUGGAUCAUGCCAAAAGAAAGAAGGGUUAGCCUUAACAUGCAUUUACUGUCAACUUCCUUCUUGUAUAUGUGAACAAUCUCUUCAAUCUUGUAUGCAAAAACUAGUCUUCUUCCACCUUACUUCAUUAUGAAGAAAUCUCCAAAUUUUUAUCAUCUUGAGGAAACCGAUAUGGAAAUACACAUCUAUGUUCUUCACGGUUUUCUUUAAUGCAAAGAGAUAUAUCUACCUUUGUAGCUCAAAUUUCUCAAGGGCCGUUUCUAAUCUUGUCGAGAAGAAGCAAACAAAUGUAUUUUUCUUGUUAAAAACGCUGCUUGUGAUAUAUAUGUCAUAAGUGUAUCAAAAAGUGAAUGAGUGGAUAGUGGGGUCCACCUCAUUUGCCACCAUUUUGAAAUAUUGUGACAUGUGGUAUAGAUGUCACUAUCUAACACAUAUUAGUCACACAUUAUUUUGGAAUGGGGGGGGGGGGGUUGCUACGUUAGGCCUUGUAGGCCUUAUCCAAACUUUUAAUUAAUCUCCCACUAAAAUUAUUAAUUACCCAAUUAUCCACAUAAUUAAGAAUUAUCUCAAAUUACUUAAAAUACUACUCACUUUUAACACACUUUAUAUAUCUUACUAUAAUAUACUUUACUAUCAUGGUCGUGUGGUAUAUUGUAUAGCAAUAAUCCAUAAAUACGGGGUAUUGUAGCUUGGAUCGUAUUUUAUCACAAAAUGUCAAACUUCGGCGAUACUCAGUUUCUUCGAUUCGUUAACCCUCUGACCUUUAUAACACUUGCUUAUCACUUGUUACAAAUAUCGUAAAUGCUUAUAACCUCCAGAAUAAUCUCAUUCUUGAGUCUACGUCGAUUUACUUACGAUGAAACUUUAACGUACGAAAUGCGGGAUGUAACAAUAUAGUUCUAAUGUGACAUUUGAGCUUCAAGAAUUGACUUUACUCAUCUAGGACUCUUAUUCUAUCAUGUAGGUUAUGGUGGACUCCAAACUCUUCCUACUCUACUUGCCAUUUGCCAAGCUCACUUAAGAAAUUAGCAUUCAAUCUUAAGAUUCAUGAAAGGUUAACUCGUCUCUCACAAGAGAAUGUCACAAGUACAGCUUCAAGUACCCUAGACUUGCCCCUCAUGUAGAUCACCACUAAUGUAAGCUUACUCGGUUUGAAAUCAAGUAGGACUUCUUUCGGGUUGUAAUGAAGGCUUUUGGAUUAAGGUAGGAUACCAUAUGGGUAAAUGCUUACACCUUUCCUUAAGCACUCCACAUUUUCAUUUCUCGACUUACAAUUACCAAUUCUUAGAGACAUUUUCUUUUCAUUGGGGACUAGAGAGACUUGAUAUCAUUCUUUCUUGUUCAUUUCAUUAUUUUUCUCCCUUUUUGAUUGCUCAUGCUAGGGAUCAUUACCUCUUUUUGAAUCUAUCAACCCUUCCACUUAUUCACAUUUUGCAUUUUUCUCUUUGUUCUUUUCUUUUCUUGCCUUUCUUUUCAUAGAGAUAAUUUCUUUUCUCUUUUUGUGCCUUGAUACCUUUUUAAAAUUCCUCAUCUCUCCCCCAAACCUAUGUUUUAAGCCACUUAUUUCACAAGAGUGUUAAGGAAGGUCUGGGUGCCAAGAGAGGGUCACGACAAAAUGGGUAAAGGCUUAUAAUAUGGUUAUCAAAUGAAAAAGGCUAGCGACUCAAAGGGGUUGACUAGGGAUAACGACAUUGGUUAGCAAUAUAAAGCUCAAACGGGCCAAGGAAAGCCUACAAUCACCUCUCAAACCAAGCAAAGCUUAGGAUUUCGCCUUGAAACAUAUUCGAGGCAAGUUCUAGACCCUUCGCACGGACACUUGGACUAGCAACAAUUUAUUUCACCCCUCACGCAACUAGAUUGUAAAAGAGGAUUGAGUCGAGAGACUACAACGACCACUUUCAAGUUUAAAAAUCACUAUGGUCCAGUUAAACCACUCGAUGAUUACCAAAGUCAACUCAAGAGUCACAAAGUAACUAACUAUAGAUAUUUCUUUCAAAAACCUUAUCUCUAACCAUAAACAUGUAGUUAAGUGUGUUAGUAGCAAUUGAAGUAUGAUUAACUCUUCGAGAAUGACUUGAUUAGCUUUUUUUAUUCAUUACUACUACUAUUAUUACCUAAGCACAAAAAUGAACUCAUUCCCUUAAGAAGGUUGUCACGCCAUCCAUCGUUGGGACGAGUCACCCAGUUCACACAAUAACUACCUUUGGAAAGAACCGUGGCAUUGAGAAAACCAAAGGCUUAAUAUCUACUAAAGCAUAAAAAGAAUCUACUUAACAAAACAAGAACUAAUAUGAAAAAAAUAGAGAAGCUAAUAAGCAAAAACUACUAAAGAGAGAUGAAUAUACAUAAGAGAAGAGAGAUAAGCUAGAUAAAUGCAAAUAAGAAAAGAAAGAGUAUCAUCAAGUUAUUACAGACCAAAUGUAUCAAAGUGUACCAAUGUGUCAAAUGAACUCCACCCCCACCCCCCGAAUAAAAGUAAGCAUUAUUCCCAAUGAAUAGAAAAAUAAGAGUAAAAGUGGAGAGGGUGAAGAAAACUCCCUAAGGAUCCUUAGACAUAUUAGUGUCCCCAACAAUGUCAUCUCCCUCAGGGUCAACCGAGUGAAUCUCAUCAUCAUCAAAUCUAGGCGUGGUUGGGUUGUCAAACAUCAAAUGAACUGCCUCAGCAGUGUCGGCAAUAAGGUCUGGCUCGUCAGACUGGCUAACUGGUGCUACCGGUGCAGAUGGUACUGAAGGAUCUGGGGUAGAUUGGUGCUGGUCAAACAACAUAUCAAAAGGAAGAUCUCCAGCUGUAGCAAGUCUAGUCACAUCCCGAUAGAGCUUGUCCAUUGAUUUCUGGCUGACCUAGACUUCCUCAUCUUCUUUACUUCCUUUCCCAACUCCCCAAUAACUGGCCCGUGUUGUACCAAGGUGUCCAUGAUUGUCUUCUGAUUUUCCAAAAUUUUCUUCAAUGUCUCAUCAAUGUCAGAAGGAGCCCGCAGUGCCUGAUAAGUGGACUGCGCUGCAACAAUACUAGACAAGUUUGACAACUUAGAAGUAGUUGUCUGCAUCCAGUUGUUGAGACUCGCCAAUGUCUGGGAGACUCGCAGAGCAGAUAGGGGAACUGUGGGCAUGGGAAGUGGCUUUAGAGCAACUCUAGGGGUUGUGGUAGGAGCUGAAGAUGAUGGUGGAAGCAUAGCAGUGGCACUGGUAGAAGGCUCAACAGAUGUAGAUGAAAGAUCAACUACCUCAGAAGCUACCACUGUUGGGUCAUCAAACUCGCCUGUGGUGGUAGAAGUCUGGACUUUCUUCUUUGGGUUACUCGCAUCCAUCGGAGAAUACCAGUCGAAUGGAUUCUUCGGCGUUACCUUAGUGUCAAAAUCUCUCGGUUCUACCUUUGCAUCAUUAAGGUACUCUGUGAUAGUGUUAAGAUAAGGGUAGGCCGAGUUGUCCUGCCGUGCAAUCACUAAAAUGUUAGCCGAUAUCACGACACCCACAUUGAUUGGGUAACCAGCCAUAAUGGAAGCCUCAAGAACUGCCUGAGGGAUAGGAAGGUGAGUCUCAUUCUGGCAUUGAUCCAACCUGCUACGAAUAAAGGUCUGCCACCCUUUAGUCUCAAAGCUCAAAGUACUCCGCUGAAUGGGAACCCCAGCGGUAGUCCAUGGUGGUGGUGGCCCUGGUGAUGCUAGAAUCUCAGCCAACCAAGGUCGGACUUCCUCCUUCAGUGCGCACUUCUCCAGAUAUUCCUUUGGCUCAACAUCCUUGAAGCCCAAAUAUGCAUUUAGCGUAUGCUGAUCAAACCCACCUUGAGGUUGCAUAAUUUGGCCACGUUCAUCCCUUUCUUGAUAUGAGCAACAUUGGCAUAAAAUUCUCAGUAUACUUUUGCAUCCUCCACUCUCUCGGUGAACCACAUCCACCCAUUUCGUGCCCUGAACUGUCUCAAUAUAGUUGGGUUGUAUUUCUACAAAUCCUUUAAUAGAAACUAUCGUUCAAGAGUUAGCGACCUCACUGGCCACCACAUACAAAAUCUGGUGAAAGCGACCAAGCUGACAAAACGAUCCCCCCCAAACCUCUUUCUUCUUUGAUCUAUCAAGCCCUGUAGCUGUAGCAUCUCCCCCUCUACCAUCAUCGGGGUUGUCAUAUGUAACCUAUGCCUCAGGGACUGGUGUAGCUGAUGGCUCAGAAACCUGACUAGAACUCUCUGAUCUCUUGGAGUAGUUGUGAGAUAAAGAUGACUCGUCCCCGAUCUGGUAUCUCCCCUGCGGCCUCGACUGAGUGGCCGUCUUCUCCUCCUAAACAGAGGCUGAGUUGCCCUCUGACACCUCCCUAGAUGGUACAUAGGAGCUAGACUCGGAGAGGUCUACACCUCUCCCUCCGCCGACUGUUAUUUUCUUUUUGAUUGUCUUGGGCUGGCCAAGGGGCAAGGCAAUUUUGCCUCGACCCCAAGAAGAUUCACCUCUCCCCUCUGAAAUGUUGCCUUGACCUCUUGGUCGAACCAUUAUUUGUAUCAAGCAGAGGAGAUUGUUAGUUGUAAUUCAUUAUUCAAACACAUACAUGAGACAUGUAGGUAAGGGAGAAACAGUUGGAUACAGUGGAGUUAUGAAAUUGAUUCAUGCUUGUAGGAUAAGGCAUCUGCGACCCAUACAAUUUGACAUGCGGCCGCAGAUGGGAACUCGCGGUCCGCACAUUUCUGUUGUGCGGUCGCAGAAGGGAAGUGUGGUCCGCACAUUUGAGAUUUCGGGCGCACUUCUGAGUCCCAAAAUUGUGAACUCUCUGAUGAUAGAUAAAUGGUCAAUAUGCGGCCGCAAAGAGGAAAUCUGUAGUCCGCACAAUUUGACUUGUGGCCCACCUUGGAGUCUCAAAAGUGAAGACUCUCUAAUGACAGAGAAAGGCCUAAUUUGCGGCCGUAAGAGGAAAUCUGCCGUCCGCACAAUUUGACUUGUGGCCGCAGAUUCCUAGAUCACAUAAGUUGCUAAAAAUCCAUAUCUGUGUACCGCACAAUUUAAGUGAGGCCGCAGAAUUCAAACAAUUAUGAAAUACAACUUUUUUAUUCAAAGAUUUUUUAAUUUCUUGGACAAAUAGGCAUGACAAUAUUGUAAAAACAUGAAAUUUUACUAACCCAAUCCCCGUAGAUCAUGUAUCAAGUUAACCUAGUUUAGAUCUACCCCACAUGGACACACAAUGGAACUCUAAUAACAGAUACCCUAAAAAGAACUAAAAAAACCUACAAAUUAAACUAACAUAAAAAUUAACCUGAAAUUGAAGCAUACCGGAUAGAGCGAAUGCACUGAGUGAGUAAUCUAGUUGGCUGUGUGUGUGGAUAGUUGAAAUCUCCAAGAAAACUUAGCAGUGCAACAGUGUUUUGUUCAAAGUGGGAAAAAGGUAAAAUGAGCCCUACUGUUCUCUUUAACCCGGGAGCUUCAUCACAGAAUUUCAUCUGUGAUCCGCACAGUUUCUUGUGCGGUUGCAGAUCGACCUCCCCCCUGACAAGAUUAAACUUUAGAUAGUUGAUAUUUUUGAAAUUUCAACUGUGCAGCCCGCAAGAGAAAUGUGCGGCCGCAAUGCUCAUCUGCUAUGGCAUAUAAAAAUGUGUGGUCCGCACAAAUAAACUGCGAUCUGCACUCUCUUGAACACUUAGCCAUAUUUUCGUCCACAAUUCUUGUAAGUCACACUCAUCCGUGUAGCACACUUCAAAUCAAGUUAGAACAUAAGUAACACCUAACUACAAAGAAAAAGGAAAAAAAACAUGGGUUGCCUCCCAAGAAGCGCCCGAUUUAACGUCAAGGCACGAUGCAGAAUACCCUCAAGUGAAAUGAAUGACCGGCACAAUGUGGCUAUCUCCAACCUUUCCUAGGUAGUGCUUUACCCGAUGACCAUUGACUCGGAAUACUUCAUUAUUUUUGUUCUUCAAGUCUAAUGCACCAAAAGGUGUCACACCCACAAUUUCAAAAGGACCACUCCACUUGGAUUUUAGCUUCCUGGGAAACAUCCUCAACCUUGAGUUAAAUAACAAUACAAGAUCGCCCACCUUGAACUCUUUGUUCCAAAUAUAUUUAUCAUGAAUAUAUUUCAUCUUUUCUUUUUACAAGGAUGAACUCGCAUAAGCAUAGUACCAGAACUCAUCCAAUUCAUUCAAAUGUGAUACCCUUAAGUUAGCAGCUACAUCCCAAUCAAGAUUCAACUUCUUUAGAGCCCACAUGACCUUGUGCUCUAGUUCCACCAGAAGAUGACAAUCUUUCCCAAACACCAACCGGUAUGACGACAUUCCAAUAGGUGUUUUGUAAGCCGUUCGAUAAGCCCAUAAUGUAUCAUCAAGCUUCUUCGACCAAUCCAUCCGAUUAACAUUCACUAUUUUGGACAAGAUACUCUUUAUCUCCCGGUUGGAGACUUCCACUUGCCCAUUAGCUUGUGGGUGGUAGGGAGUCGUGAUUUGUGAAUAACACCAUGCUUUCUAAGUAAAGUGUCGAAAAUCUUGUUGCAAAAGUGUGACCCCCCAUCGCUUAUNNNNNNNNNNNNNNNNNNNNNNNNNNNNNNNNNNNNNNNNNNNNNNNNNNNNNNNNNNNNNNNNNNNNNNNNNNNNNNNNNNNNNNNNNNNNNNNNNNNNNNNNNNNNNNNNNNNNNNNNNNNNNNNNNNNNNNNNNNNNNNNNNNNNNNNNNNNNNNNNNNNNNNNNNNNNNNNNNNNNNNNNNNNNNNNNNNNNNNNNNNNNNNNNNNNNNNNNNNNNNNNNNNNNNNNNNNNNNNNNNNNNNNNNNNNNNNNNNNNNNNNNNNNNNNNNNNNNNNNNNNNNNNNNNNNNNNNNNNNNNNNNNNNNNNNNNNNNNNNNNNNNNNNNNNNNNNNNNNNNNNNNNNNNNNNNNNNNNNNNNNNNNNNNNNNNNNNNNNNNNNNNNNNNNNNNNNNNNNNNNNNNNNNNNNNNNNNNNNNNNNNNNNNNNNNNNNNNNNNNNNNNNNNNNNNNNNNNNNNNNNNNNNNNNNNNNNNNNNNNNNNNNNNNNNNNNNNNNNNNNNNNNNNNNNNNNNNNNNNNNNNNNNNNNNNNNNNNNNNNNNNNNNNNNNNNNNNNNNNNNNNNNNNNNNNNNNNNNNNNNNNNNNNNNNNNNNNNNNNNNNNNNNNNNNNNNNNNNNNNNNNNNNNNNNNNNNNNNNNNNNNNNNNNNNNNNNNNNNNNNNNNNNNNNUUGACAUUCAUCACAUCUUUUCACUAACUCACUAACAUCUUUGUAAAGAGUAGUCCAAUAGAAACCGCAACUAAGCACUUUGGCCAUCAUUCUUGCUCCACCAUGCUGACCACCAUAUGGCGAAGAAUGACAAGCCCCAAGAAUUUCAACGUGCACUUGUUCCGGUACACAUCUUCUAAUCACCCCAUCCGUGCAAAUCUAGAAAAGGUAUGGUUCAUUCCAAUAAUAGUCUUGACAAUCCUGUUUAAGCUUCUUCCUUUGGCUUGAGGAGAACUCAUCCGGAAUGAUUCCACACACAAGAAAAUUUGCUAAAUUCGCGAACCAUGGUACCUCUUUUAUUGAAAUUGCCAAGAGUUGCUCAUCGGAGAAAGAGUCAUUGAUCUCAAGGACAUCAUGAGGCCUCCCCUCCUCCUCCAAAUGAGACAAGUGGUCCGUUGCUUGAUUUUUACUACCUUUUCUAUCUUGGAUGUCAAUAUUAUAUUCUUGUAACAAGAGAACCCAUCUCUUCAACUAAGCUUUGGAGUCCUAUUUGCUCAUAAGAUAACGAAGCGCCGCAUGAUCCAUGUGGACAAUAACUUUUGCACCCAUCAGUACUGGGGGAACUUUUCAAUUGCAAACACAAUAGCAAAGAGCUCUUUCUCUGUAACGAUAUAGUUGACUUAGGAAUUAUUCAUGGUCUUACUAGCAUAGUAGACCAGAUGAAAAAUCUUGUUGAUGGGAUGCCCCAAAACAACCCCAACCACUACGUCACUUGCAUUACACAUGAGUUCAAACGGCAUACUCCAAUUUGGAGCGGUGAUGAUGGAAGUAGUUGUCAACUUGAGCUUCAACAAUUCAAAAGCUAUCAUGCAGUCAUCAUUGAUAUUAAACUUAGCAUCCUUCUCAAGAAGCUUGUACAAGGGGUUCACAACCUUAGAGAAGUCUUUGAUGAAGCGUCGGUAAAAACCCACAUGGCCUAAGAAACUCCGCACACCCUUUACCGAAGUAGGGGUGGAAGCUUAGAAAUCACCUCAAUCUUUGGAUUGUCAACUUCAAUUCCACUCCUUGAGAUUUUGUGGCCAAGGACAAUACCUUCAUCGACCAUGAAAUGGCAUUUCUCCCAAUUAAGCACCAAAUUUGUUUCUUCACAUCUAGCCAACACAUUGUCCAAAUUUGCAAGACAAUCAUCAAAAGAAUCUCCAACCACCGAGAAGUCAUUCAUGAAAACUUCAAGGUAGUCCUCCACCAUAUCCGUGAAAAUAGCCAUCAUACACCUUUGAAAAGUCGUCUGUGCAUUGCACAAACCAAAUGGCAUCCGCUUGAAAGCAAAAGUGCCAUAGGGACAUGUAAAGGUUAUUUUCUCUUGAUUAUCCAGAGCAAUGAGAAUUUGGUUGUAGCCCGAUUAUCCAUCAAGAAAGCAAUAGAAAACAUGACCGGCCAAUCUAUCAAGCAUUUGAUCUAAGAAAGAAAGUGGAAAGUGAUCCUUCCUUGUGACUUUGUUGAGCUUGCGAUAGUCCAUACACACCCUCCAACCGGUCACCGUUCUAGUGGGAAUCAACUCAUUCUUUUCAUUGGUGACCACCGUCAUGCCCCCUUCUUUGGGACACAUUGAACCGUAGAAGUCCAUGAACUAUCAGAGAUGGGGUAGACAACCUCGAUAUCCAACCACUUGAUAAUCUCCUUCUUGACAACUUCUUGCAUAACCUCAUUGAGUUUCCUUUAAUGUUCAAUAGAUGGUUUGGUUCCAUCCUCCAAGUUGAUCUUAUGCAUGCAAAAGGCGGGGCUUAUCCCCCAAAUAUCUGCCAAGGUCCACCCAAUAGCCUUCUUCCUCUUUUGUAGCAUUGCCAAUGUGGAAUCUACCUGUACGUUAGUCAAAUAAGAGGAAAGAAUAACCGGUAAAGUAGAACAAGGACCAAGAAAUUCUUACCGAAGAUGUGGAGGAAAUGGCUUCAUCUCCAAGGUAGGAGGCUCUUCAAUAGAAGGCUUUGUAGGAGGAGUUGUCCUAUUUUCAAGAACCAAGGACAAUUUUCAGGGUGCAUAGUUGUAUGACCCCAUUCCUUGCAAAGAGUUUACACAUUCCAUGAAGACAUCCAUCUCGUCAUCAUAAAAGUUGAGCAAGGAGGCCUCCAACUUCUCACCAACAUUGAUUGUAGCACUUGUUUCAUCAAUAAUAACAUCGGUCACCAAGUCCACAAAAGAACACACCUCAUUGCUAUUUGGUUGCCGCAUGGACAUACACACAUGGAAUACCACGUUUUCAUCACCAACCCAGAAAGUGAGUUCUACGGCUUCAAUAUCACAAAGACCCUUACUCGUAGCAAGGAAAGGUCUCCCAAGAAUAAUCGGCACUUCACAAUCAACCUCAUAGUGUAGAAUGACAAAAUCCGCCAGAAGAAUGAAUUUAUCAACACGAACUAAAACAUCUUAAAUCACUCCCAAGGGCCUCUUCAUAGUAUAAUCGAAAAUUUAUUAUCUCAUAGAGGUGGGUAUUGGUUUCCCAAUUCCCAAAGUCUUGAAAAUCGAAUAAGGCAUCAAAUUGAUACUUGCCCCAAGAUCACAAAGAGCCUUAGCAAACUCGGCACUUUCAAUUGUACAAGGCAUUAUGAAAUCACCGGGUUCCUCCAACUUAGGAGCCAUUGAAUGUAUAAUUGCACUCACUUGAUGAGUGACUUUUAUGGUCUCAAAAUUCAUUGACCACUUUUUUGUCACAAGAUCCUUCAUAAACUCUGCAUAACCGGGUAUUUGUUCUAAAGCUUCAACUAAUGGCACAUUGAUUGAGAGACUCUUCAUCAUUUGAAUGAACUUCUUGAAUUGAUUCCCACCAUUUUGAUUGGCAAGUUUUUGAGGGUAUGAAGGUGGAGGCUUAGGCAAUGGUGCCUUAGCCUUUUGCACUAUCGGCUCCGGUAUGUCAAUAAUGUGUUCCCUAGAUGGGUUUACCUUCUCUUGAGUUUCUACCACACUAUCAUCAAUAUAAAUCCGAACUUCAUCAUUACGAUACACCAUAUUGUUCGGGAUCUCUUCUUCUUACAUCACUUGAUCAUCAUCAAAUAGUUGCCUUUCAUUUAAGGUGGCUGCUUUCCCGCCUCUUUCACUUCUUGUGAUUACUGACAUGGCAUGCCCUAUGUUGUUACCACCUUUUGGGUUUACCACCGUGUCACUUGGUAGUGCCCCCUUAGGACGAGAAUUUAGAGCUUGAGAGAUUUGUCCCAUUUGAAUUUCUAGGUUGCGGAUUGAUGUGUUGUGUGAGGCAAGUUGGGGAUCCGAAUCGGCAUUCUUUUCCAUCAUUUGCUUGAACAUAUUUUCAAUAUGCCCCAUCUCAUUAUUUGAAGAACUCGAACCAUGGGAAGAUUAAGGAGGUGGGUUGCUUGGUUGAUGGUACAUUGGGGUCCUUUGAAAACCCGACCCCGGUUGCCUUGAUUGUUGCUCCAUCCGCCUUGAUUGUUACCUCCCCAAUUUCCUUGGUUGUUUCCACUCCAAUUUCCUUGAUUGUUGUUGUUAUGCCAAUUGCUUUGAUUUUUUUGUGGUCUCCAUUAUUGUUGGUUUGGGCCUUGGAAGUUAUUUCUUUGCCUUUGAAAAUUAUUCACAUAUUGCAAUUCCUCUUCUUGUUCAUUAUAGGAAUCAUCUUGCUCAAAACUACCAUAUUCUUGCCCAUAGUUCUCCACUCGAUAUUGCACUCCUUACAUUACAAUGACUUGCUUAGGAGUUUGCACUUGAUUUAGUUGGGCCUUUGCUAGUUGAGUCGUGGUAGUUGUUAAUUCGGCAAUUGCUUGUCCAUGGUUUUGCAAUUCUUUGUGAAUGUGGAUCAUAUUCGGGUCGCCUCAUGGAACAUUGGGCCGGGAAUGCCAAGACGACGACGUGUCUGCCAUCUCAUCCAAAAUCUCACACGCCUCCGCAUAAGGCGUAGUCAUAGAGUUCCCACCGACUAGUUGAUUCACUACACAUUGGUUAGUUGUGUUAAUCCCAUGAUAGAAGGUUUGUUGAAUCAUGUUUUCCGUCAUAUCAUUGUUGGGACAUUCCUUGACCAUAGUUCUAUAGUGCUCCCAUAUCUCGUGUAGUGGUUCAUUCAGCUCUUGUAUGAAUGCUAAGAUCUCAUCUCGAAGUGUAGACAUGUGUCUGGGAGAGAAAAACCUAGCAAUGAACUUUUCCGUUAACUCAUCUCAAGUGUGAAUUGAAUGGUUCAACAAUUAUUUCAACCAAUCUAAAGCUUUUCCCUUAGAGAGAAGGGGAAAAGCCUUAGCCUCAAUGCAUCCUCGGAGACAUUUGUUUGCUUGCUCCCCCAACAAGUGUCCACAAACCCCUUCAAAUGUUUAUAAGCAUUUUGUGUUGAAGCACCAAUGAAGAAACCCCGUUGCUCAAGCAAAGUGACCAUCACAUUGGUAGUUUGGAAGUUGCCCGCCCUAAUACGGGGAGGGACUAUUGCACUAGUAUAACCUUCGUUGGGCAAUAUCUGGUGUGGAGCCGCUCGUGGUGGAGGUGGGGGUGGAAUGAUCACAUUGUCAUGAGGUACCCAACCUCUCCGAUUGGCUUGUGGCUCAUGAGGUACCUCCUCUACUUGCUCCUCAUCCGCAUCCAAAUCCCCCAAAGGCAAUUUUUCGAGCUCAUUAUUCGCCAAGGUUGUACCUAAGAUUUCUCACACAAGUUAGUAACAUGGAAGGAAAAGAAGAUAUUCUAAAAACAAACCUAAAUAUAUAGCUAACACAGUUUUAAAUCCCCGGCAACGGUGCCAAAAAUUGAUCCAUGUCUAAUCCACUCUCAAUAGUGAAUGGAAAUGGUCGUUGAAAGAAUAGUACCCAACAAGAGUAGAGUUCGAUUUCCACAAGGAGUUACUAUGGGUGUUAGGCGUAUACACUUGACGAAAGCAAAUGGAAUAAUUUAAUUGCACUUCCAGCAAAAGGUUUUGAUUUCUAAUUCUAAUUUUACUCUAGCAAUUAUAAGCUAAGAAAAGAAACUAGAAGCGAAUGAUUGUUUUUGGUAUUUUUUCAAAUAGUUAAAAAGCCUAGGAAUGUGACCAUAAGCUAGGUGUUCCCCUAAUGGGUUAGAUAUGUUAGCACUUGUUUUGUUGAUUGGGGUAUAUUAUAGCUCUCAACUCUACGUUACCCACUCAAUACCUCUCGGCCAAAGAGUAAUUUUGUCCAAUUUGGUUUUUUCAACCCCAAAUGGGUAUCAAACUAAAUAGUUGAUAUGAGCUCAAGUCGGGUUUUUAAUAUCUCUAGUUUGAACCCUUUAAUUAGGCAAAUCAAACCCUCAAUUUGCCUAAUUCCUUAUUAGCCAAGUUAUUUUAGACUAGGUCCCUCUUUCUAAGUAGAGACCAAGUCAACAAGGCAUGAGUCAAUAUUUGCAACCAUUAAUUCUAAAAUUGAAGCAUAAACUAAGAUAAAUAAUCAACACCCAAUCAUAAAUAAGCAUUAAAUAAAAUAUCCAUAAGAUUUACACACUAGGGUUGGGUCACAACCCUAGUAAGAAUGUAGCUACUCAUAGUGAGAAAUGAAGAAAACAAAGAAGAAACGCUAACUAAACUUAUAAUCUAAGAUUAAAAUGAUAAAAUAUGAUGUUUGAGACCUAAAAUAAUCACAAAAUUCUAAAAUGGCAAAAUAUAACAGUUACAGUAGCUCAAACUUCGAAACUUGACCUAAAAAUAUGAAACUCGUCUAUUUAUAGCGGCCCAAAGUUCGCUGACAAAAAUGCCCCUCGAGAGGUUUUGCGGCUGCACAAUUCCAUGUGCGGUCCGCAGAUUGCUUCAGCUAGCAGGGUCUUGGAUUCUACAGCCGCACAAUUCUGGACAGCGGCUGCGGUCCGCACUUCAGCAAGGCUUCAGGUCUUGGUCUUUUGCACACUCUCUAAACUAUGAAUCAUUUGGCAGUGCAGACCUUAUUCUCUAACCGCACAAUUCAUGUGCGAUACGCACAUUGGCUAAAGCUCUACUAGGCUAUUUUACUUGAUCUACGGUCACAAAUGGAAUUCUGUUGUCCACACUUUCUUCUGCAGCCAUAGAAAUCCUUCUACGGACCGCAUUUCUUGAGUUUUGUGCCCCUUCUUGCCUUGUGAGUCGGAACACUCCUUUUUGAGUCGGAUUUUAUCAUGGGAGCUCAAGCUUCCAACAUUCUUGAAAUUUGCACACUUUCAUUAGUUUCAGGAACAUAAAUAAUUACUUUCGGACUAAAACAAAAACAAAAAGGUGCUAAUAAGUACUCAAAGAGAAUCGGUGCACCCCAAGGCGACACACUCGGCAUGAUGAAACCCUUUUCUAACAAAUCCUUCAAUUGUUCCUUUAGUUCCUUCAAUAUUACCUGUGCCAUUUUGUAGGGUGGAAUAGAUAUAGGCUACAUGCCUGCCAUCACAUCAAUCCCAAAACCAAUUUCCCUAUCUGGUGGGAUCCUAGGGAGCUCAUAAGGAAAGACCUCCGAAAAUUUAUUCACAACUGGUACAGACUUAAGUGUAGGUGUCUCAACAUGGGUAUCAGUAACCCGAACCAAAUGGUAAAUACACCCCUUGUUGGUUAUCUUCGUGGCCUUCAGGUAAGAAAUAAACCUACCCUUCGGCACCACAUCAUUCCCCUUCCUCUCAAUAACUGGAUCAUUUGGAAAUUCAAAUCCAACGGUUCUGGUUCGGCAAUCAAGCUUAGCAAAACAUGAAUAAAGCCAGUCCAUCCCCAUUAUUACAUCAAAAUCAACCAUCCCCAAUUCAAUGAGAUUGGCCAUGGUGUCCCAACCAUGCAUCGUGAUAACACAAUCCCUAUAAACCCGCGCGACCACAAUAGAUUCACCAAUCAGAGUAGAUACGAAGAACGGCUCAUGAAGCUGUUCCGGUUCUAUCCCAAAUUCCAUAGCAAUAUAGGGAUUGACAUAGGACAAAGUGGAACCAGGAUCAAUAAUAGCAUAUGCAUCAUGUGAUUGGACAGUCAAUAUACCUGUGACAACAUCUAGAGAAGCCUCUGAACUCUGGCGACCCCUCAUAGCAUACAAACAGAUGAAUCCUCUCGAACUCUGUGCACCACCCCUAGCUGUACCACACCCUGCGGGUGUUGGAGUGCCUCGAACUGGAGGAGGCACUGCGGAUGUAGUAGCUGUAGAACUGGCUGGUUGUGCCAUACCCCUGCCCCCACUCUGGCGGGACGAAUGAUAAUCCCUCUGAAUGUGACCCAUCAUACCACACCUGUAGCAUAUGGGUAGGUCCAUGUACCAGACCCCUAAGUGCAUCUUCCCACACCUAGGGCAUGGGGGCCUCCGCUGCUGCUGGAAUCUCCCACCAGACCGACCCUGCUGGUAGGAUCCCUUGUUGCCCUGACCGGGCCUGAAAUAACUCCAGUGCUGCUGAUUAGGCCCUGAUGGCUAUGCACUGACUGAAGACUGAGCAAAGGACUGGGAUGGACCUGAUGACCCUCCCCCAAAUGCCGCCCUACCACCACCACCACCAGAAGAAUCACCAAAGUUGCCCGCGGACCGUACCUUAUUUCUACCCUCUCGCUCCAUUCUAUUCAUCAAUUUGUGGGUCUCUGUGGCUUGAGCAAAUGCCACCAUCUUUCCAUAGUUCAUAUUAGAGUUCAAGGCAGCUGUAACAACCUCAUUAAUAACCAAGGGGCUGAGGCCCUACACAAACUGACGCACUUUGGCCUCCAAAGUGGGCAACAUGUAAAUAACAUACUUGGACAGGCACGCGAAUCUUAUAUGGUACUCCCACACACUCAAGAUACCUUACCUCAGUCUUUCAAACUCAGCGAAAAAAGCAUCGGUAAACUCACUCCACCUCGGUGGAGGGCUCCCCUACUCACGGGACUCCUCCCACAACUCAAACCAAGAAUAUGCCACCUCUUUCAGGUGGUAGGAAGCCAACUCCAUUGCUUCUGUCUCAAUUGCACGCAUAACUUGGAGAGUCUUGUGCAUCUUAUCAAUGAAGUCCUAAGGGCCCUUCUCGGGAUUAGUACCCGUGAACACUGGAGGAUCUAACUGAAGAAACAUGUUCACCCUGGAACUAGUAGAAUCCCCUAGCUGACUGGAAGAAUAGGUGCAACACUCGAUCUUUGGGCCUGGGAAGCCACUAUCUACGCCAACAUCUGUAUGGCUCCCCUAAGGUCCCCAUCAGAAACACUAGGACAGGAAGCUGAGGUUGGAGGUGAAACUGGAAUAUCAGCUGGAGGAAUCGUUGCACCCUCAGUAGGAGUAGGGAUUGGUGUAGUCUGAGCAGGAGUAGUAGAAUCAGGCGGUGUAGUAGUUGGGGGAAUAUCCUCACUCCUCGGGUGCUCACCCGCAUCAUCAGUUUUAGAAUCAACUGCCACUCCUGGGGGUAGUAUUGGCUCUUUGUCCAGUUCUUGUUUUCUUCCUAGGUGCCAUGUACUGAAAAUUAGAGCAAUGCACGAGUUAAAGGAGGACAAUCUUACAAUCAGCUCUAUCGCAUGACCUAGAUUAUCAAAGAAGGGUGUUAUUCCUAAAUGCCUAAGUAGCCUCCUAAUUAUAUAUGUGGUCGACAACACACUGAUAAGAAGGACUCUACAAGACUGGCUCCGAGACAUCCUAGGACACUUUAAAACAUUUGGCUCUGAUAUCAAGUUUGUCAUUCCCUGACCUCGGGGAAUGCGACCGACACUCAACUGAGAUAACCCGGUCAAGCAAGCCUACUAGAUACUUUCUACCCGUACUCACUCAAGAAUAAAGUGAAGAUAUAUUUCAUUAGACCAUGAGAAGAUCAUGUGAGAGACACCAAUUCAUUACUAUUAGUUACAUCAUUUAUAAUUCUCUAAAAUAUUACAUUACACAUUCAUAGUUUAGAAGUAGAACAAGUGAUACAAAUACAACAUUCUAGUUUGACUUUCCCAACACUAAUAUACAACCCACACUACGUCUACAGAGCCUCUAACGGAUACAAAAGAAUACUGUGAUAGUGACGGCAACAAGGCUCUGGCUAUACCUUAAAACACUAUACAUAGAUGACAAAAGAUACAAGACUCCGAGAAGAAGCGGGGCUCACCAAGUCAGCUGAGGAGAGGGUGUACUGCUAUCACUGAUCAAUGCCAUCUGCUAUGGAACUACCUGCAUCCAUUAAAGAUGUUGCGCCCCCGACAAAAAGGACAUUAGUACAUAUGGAAUAGUACUAGUAUGUAAGGCUAAACACCUUCUCAAUAAAACAAGUAACAAUACAAUUAUAAACAAUUAUAGGAUAAAAAUGAAAGCCUCAAAUAAUACCAAUGCAUCAAGUUAAGUGCAAGAUAAGUUUCCAAGUAAACUUCAAUGUUUAAGGUUGGGAGAUCUUUAGUACCGAUAUACCACUGUGAUGUUAGCACGGUGUUCUAUGACGGACCAAUCGGCUAGGCCAUCUCAUCCAAAGACAUCCAAUCACAAUCAUAAUCACCACCAUGUGCGCGGCAUGGCAUCCGAUCUCGACCCGAUCGGCCAGGCCUUCUCACCACAAUGCCGUGUGGAUCGACAUCACCCUUCAUUAGCUAUUAUCUCCUCCCAAUUAAGGGGAAUAAUCUUAGCACAUCAAUCUCUUCCUAUUUAAGGGGAAUGUCCUCAACACAUCAGUAAGGGGAUUUACCCCUCAAUUACUCCUACACUGCAUAUGUAGUUUCGGGGUUAGGUUAUUUCAACCUACCCUUCUUUGGUGACUAACGAUACUCCCAAAAUAUUUAUUAUAAAAAAAGGAUUUUCAGGUCAAUUCAUAGCCUUUUACACAUCUUUUCAUUUCAUUGGCACUAGUGGUCACAAAUGUAAUAUCAUGCUGGGCAAGUCAGCCAUAUUUCAUAUUUCAUGCUCACCCCUUUCACUUUCAAACAUCAUCAUGAGUUAACAACAACAAAGCAUCUCAAAUCAUGACUUUUAGUACACAUAUGAGCAAAUAAGAGUCUUAGGCACAUUGAGUUUUCUUCCAUAAUUUGGCAUAAUAACUUGUAAUUGAAACAUGAUUGAAUUCAUAAUAUUUUGAUACACAACCCAUACUUUUAACACAUUCCCGAAGGAUAACAUAAUAUGAUAAGAGCAUCCGGAACACAUUUUGAAUAUAUAUCUUUCGACACAAAGUUUAUUCGGAAUAGUCAAAUUUAUAAGGGAUAACCCGGAACAUGAGACAUAAGAGCUUGAGCCAAUAAUAAUUACAAUUUAUGAGGACAUCAUGGAUUUAUUCUACAAGAGGAGUUUAACCAACAUACCUCGCUUUGAGAUUUUCUUAAAGUACUACAAUAUUUCGAAAAUCCUAGCAACUUUGAUCUAUUUAGAGACAUGAUAAAAUUGAAUCAUAAUUAGGAAGAUAUUCAUAGGUUCAGUUCACUUAAGCAUUUUAUCAAGCACUAGGUGUGUAUUAUGAUUUCAAGAUUUUCCUAUGAAGGAUUCCUUCAUCCCACAAUCCAAUAUUUACCCAUUUGAGCUCAACAACCUUCCCACAAACCUUGAUGAUACAUGCAUGCAUAAAUAACACUCUCAUAAACAAGAAUCAUACUCCUCAUUACCCAUCUCCUACCCAAAAUUGAAAUGAAAAGCUACGGCUAGAACCUUACCUCUUGGAUGAAGACCUUGUGAGUUUUCCUUAUUGAAUUUCAAAGCUUAGGAAAGGAUUGAUGAACAAAACACUUGGGGAUUCCUCCUCUCUCUAGAACACUCCCCUAUCUCUAAAAUGGCAAUUUAGACCAGCCAAAAUAACUCCAAGUUUAUUUUUACAAAAAUGGGAUCGGGUAAAUUUUUUUCGAACUUACUUACAAAGUUGGGUCUGCGGUCGCAGACUGGACUGCAAAAUGAUUAUGUGGCCUGCAAAAGGGACCACAAAAAUGGUCCCAAAAAUUGGCAGAUCUGGACAGGGUUGCAACCGUUGUGUUGCCCGUAGAAUGGUUAUGCGGUCGCAUAACGCGCCGCGAAAUCUCCCUCCAAAAAUUUUCAUGCUGGUUCUACGACUGAUUGUGCGGCCUGCAGAAUGAUUAUAUGGCCUCAUACUCGAUCGUAAAUGAUCUUAAAAAAUUGGCUCAAGUUCUGUUGCACUCUGCGGCCGAUCUGCGUUCCGCGAAGAGGUCCUGGGGCCGCAUAGUGGACUGUCGAAAUGCCAUAUUCUGCAAAACGUUUCCUUCAACUCCCCAACGUACUGUACAACCUAAAAUGUCCAUACCGUGGUGAGCUAAAGAAUUUCUACAAUCCUCAAACACAUUAGGCUACCUCGGCACCACGAAACCCCAGGUUUUACUAUAAUUUUAUGGGGCCUUACAGUAUCUGAACAUGGGCCUGUUGGUGGUGUAUAGGGUAUAAUGGCCAUGGUGGGAUCAUAGGAUCGUCUAAGUCUUCUGGCAGAAGAGGGUCAUCGUACGACGAAGGAGUUAAAACUAAUAAGUUCAAAGAGUUGGCUAGUUGAUAUGGGAGAUUUUAUGGGAAUUGAGGUGUGAGUGCUAGGCCGUGUUGGAGAUUAGAUAAUUGGUUGGACAGUUCGAGUGUUGUGAUUUUCUAGACUUGGAGUAGUUGUGAGAUAUUGGAGUUCUGGACGUUGAGGCGGGUCAUGUUUAGAAAGAAUUUCAAAGGGGUUUUGCAGGGGAAUGUGAUAGGCCGAUGGGGAAGCGGUUGUUGUCGUGGGCGCAUUAUUAUCCAAAAUGGAGGACAGUGGUGAAAUAAGGGGAUAUGUAGUAGAAUGAUUGGAUUGUGGUAAUUUAAUAGGGACAUGUGGUGUUUCUUGAUGUUUUAUUUUUUGGAUUUGUAUAGUGAAAGUGUUUGGAGACUGAGUUCUUAGAAGCAGUGUUGGUUGUGUGUGUGUUCAAGUUUGGCAUGCUGUUAGGAAGGUUGAGGGAGUGGAUGAUGGAGUUUUGUGGUGGUGUUGAUGGUGGUCGUCGACAUAGUAGGUCAUUGUGUACCAUUAUUGCGGUAUGUUGUGUUGCAGAAUGGUGGAUGGGGAAGAGGUGGCGGUGUACGUGUUAUUGGGAUUAUUUGAGGUAGUUGGAAUUUGAGAGGUGCACGAAGAUGCAAGGUGGCCUAUACAUCAACAAGAUGCACACAUAGGUAAGGAGGUUUCGUAGUAAAUGUUUUGUAAGUGUGUGCCAAUUAGGAGUUUUUUUGGUAGUGGUUUUUCGACGGGUGCAAGCACACAGAGUCUAACAUAGCGGCUCCUAGUUGUUAUGGAUGUGCAGUUGUCAAUUUUUAAGAGUGUACCAAUCUGGCUGCCUAUUUUCUUUAAAAAAUCAAGGUCGUAGUAUUCCGCGGGAAGUUCUAGAAGUCUAGCCCAGAUGGCGGAGAUGGUGUUUUUUCAUCCGUUGCUGAGAAUUUAGGUUCCCAAUUUCGAACGGUAAUGUAUUGUGAGCAAAUAAACCAUGGCCCAUUGUGAAGUACUUUAAGGUAGUGAUUGAUUUGUGUGAAUCGGAUAAGAAAGUAGUCAUUGCCAAGAUCAAUGAGGUUAAAGGAUUUAAUUGGUUACCAAAGUGUUUGGAGUUUGUUUUUAUCGAAAUGGUAACCUAGUUUUCUACUGAUGGGUUCAUCCCAUGUGUAAUAUGGCCAUUAAUUUGGCUUCUAUAAAAAAUUUGUGGACCAAGUUUUUAUGACAUUUGCCAUGAUAUCAUAUUCACUAUAACAAAUUUGUGGACCAAAUUUUCAUAACAUUUGCCAUGACAUCAUAUCCACUAUUAGGCCAAGGAUUUCUUUCUAUAAAUAGAGGAGCUUCUCCUCAUUUGAAAACACACCAAAAUAAGAGAGAAGCAAUAGAUGUUAGAGAGAAUAAUCCACAGAUUAUAGUCUAUGAGAUAAAUAGUGAGUGUGAGUGAGGUGUUUAAAUAAAGAGUGUUAUUUCUUGUGUUAUUUUACCUCGUUAAAAGAGUUGGUAUCGUUGUUACUCUCUUGUGUUAUUAUUAUUUGCUGUGGAUAUUAUUUCUGAGUGGGAUUAUUAUAUUUUCCCAAAAGCUUGGUAUUAGAGCCAUGGCAAAUAAUGGUACGAUGUCUUUUCUGUACCCCCGUAUCACAAAAGAUAAUAUUAUGAGAAAUGGUGUUUAUGUAUAAAAGCCAUUCUUUGCUCCCAGAAAGUGUGGGAAAUCGUAGAUAGAGGGUAUGCGAAAUCCGAUAAUGAGAAAGCUCUGCCUCAAAAUGAAAAAGAUGUCUUGGAAAAGACAAGGAAGAACGACCAAGCCCUCACGCUCAUCCACCAAUGUUUGGAUAAUGCCAUAUUUGAGAAGGUGGCAGAUGCUACCACCUCAAAGGAAGCUUGGGAGGUUUUACAAAAUUCUCUUCAGGCAGUUGACAAGGUGAGGAAGGUAAAACUUCAAACUCUGAGGGCUGACUUUGAAGUUUUAAAAAUGAAACAAUCCGAAUGCAUUUCGGAUUAUUAUUCAAAAGUGAAGGUUGUUGUAAAUAAAUUAAGAAGAUACAGGGAGGAAAUAAAGGAUGUCUGUGUAGUAGAAAAGAGCCUUUGCACUUUGAAACCUAAAUUUGAUUUUGUGGUGUAUGUUAUUGAGGAGUCUAAAGAUUUAGACUCUAUGCUGGUUGAGCAAUUGGAGGGUUCUUUACAGGCCCACGAAGAAAAGAUCAAAAGAAGACAAGAAGUGCCACUGGAACAGCUUCUUAAAACUUAGGCAUUCUUUAAGGAUUAUGAAGGUGAAAAGAGCUAUCGAGGAAACAGACGAGGAUGAGGACGAGUCCGUGGCGGUCAUGGAAGAGGAAGAAGUAAUGGUAACAACUUCAACAAUGAAGUUAAAAUCAACCAAACAUUCAGAGGUCGUAGUCGUGGACAAGAGGAGGAAAAUGACGUGGCUACUACCAAGAAAAUAAUGGACAAAGGUAUGACAAAUCAAAAAUUGAGUGUUAUAAUUGUCAUAAAUCUAGCCAUUACUUUUGGGAAUAUCGUAGCAAUGUUGAAGAAAAAGCUAACCUUGUUGAUUAACAAAAAACGAAGAAUAUGAGUCAACAUUAUUGAUGGCAGUUAAGGAAGAAGACAGGNNNNNNNNNNNNNNNNNNNNNNNNNNNNNNNNNNNNNNNNNNNNNNNNNNNNNNNNNNNNNNNNNNNNNNNNNNNNNNNNNNNNNNNNNNNNNNNNNNNNNNNNNNNNNNNNNNNNNNNNNNNNNNNNNNNNNNNNNNNNNNNNNNNNNNNNNNNNNNNNNNNNNNNNNNNNNNNNNNNNNNNNNNNNNNNNNNNNNNNNNNNNNNNNNNNNNNNNNNNNNNNNNNNNNNNNNNNNNNNNNNNNNNNNNNNNNNNNNNNNNNNNNNNNNNNNNNNNNNNNNNNNNNNNNNNNNNNNNNNNNNNNNNNNNNNNNNNNNNNNNNNNNNNNNNNNNNNNNNNNNNNNNNNNNNNNNNNNNNNNNNNNNNNNNNNNNNNNNNNNNNNNNNNNNNNNNNNNNNNNNNNNNNNNNNNNNNNNNNNNNNNNNNNNNNNNNNNNNNNNNNNNNNNNNNNNNNNNNNNNNNNNNNNNNNNNNNNNNNNNNNNNNNNNNNNNNNNNNNNNNNNNNNNNNNNNNNNNNNNNNNNNNNNNNNNNNNNNNNNNNNNNNNNNNNNNNNNNNNNNNNNNNNNNNNNNNNNNNNNNNNNNNNNNNNNNNNNNNNNNNNNNNNNNNNNNNNNNNNNNNNNNNNNNNNNNNNNNNNNNNNNNNNNNNNNNNNNNNNNNNNNNNNNNNNNNNNNNNNNNNNNNNNNNNNNNNNNNNNNNNNNNNNNNNNNNNNNNNNNNNNNNNNNNNNNNNNNNNNNNNNNNNNNNNNNNNNNNNNNNNNNNNNNNNNNNNNNNNNNNNNNNNNNNNNNNNNCAGUCUCAUAAAAAUUCGUCGUCCUCUAACGGUACCUUAUUCCAACCCCCAACCAAAAAUGGAGUUGCAGAGAAAAAGAAUUGAAUGAUUCUUAAUAUGGCUAGAUAUAUGUUAAAAGCUAAAAGUAUGCCCAAGGAAUUUUGGGCAGAAGCUGUAUCUUGUGCAAUUUAUUUAAACAACAGGUCUCCAACAAGGAAUGUUAGAGAUCAAACCCCUCAAGAAGCAUGGAGUGGAAGAAAUCCAAGUGUCAAGCACUUGAGAAUCUUUGAGAGCAUAGCCUAUGCUCAUGUGCCACAUCAACGGAGAGCGAAGCUUGACGAUCGAAGUGUCAAGCAUGUGUUUGUUGGCUAUGAUACGAGUUCAAAAGGCUACAAGCUCUACAACCCAAGUAGCGGCAAGAUAGAGGUGAAUCGUGAUGUUGAAUUUGAUGAAGAAUUGGAAUGGAAUUAGGAAGCUCAGGAAGAAACUUCAUAUGAUUUUCUUCCAUACUUUGGCGAUAAAGAAGAACCAGAGACCGUGGAACUUGUGCAGGAUACAACUCCACCUCCUUCUCCAACCAAUGUUGCAUCUCUUUCAUCUCAACAAAGUUAAAAUGAGCAACCGCAAAGGACAAGGAGCAUUCAAGAGCUCUAUGAUGGCACAGAAGAAGUUACUAAUUUUGAUUUUUUAUAUUGUCUCUUUGCUGAUAGUGAACCAAUGAACUUUGAUGAAGGUGAUACAGACAAAAGGUGGAGACAAUCCAUGAAGGAGGAGAUCAAGUCAAUAGAGAAGAACAACACUUGGGAGUUAACAACUCUUCCCGAGGGUCAUAGCGCAAUUGGAGUAAAAUGGGUAUACAAGACAACGAAGAAUGCUGAUGGAGAUAUGGAGAGAUACAAGGCACGACUUGUGGCUAAAGGCUACAAGAAAAGUCAAGGAAUUGACUAUGAAGAAGUCUAUGCACCUGUUGCCCACAUGGAGAUGAUUCAUUUGCUGAUCUCUUUAGUGGAGCAAAUGAAGUGGAAGAUCCAUCAACUAGACGUCAAGUCAGCCUUCUUGAAUAGCUAUCUUGAAGAAGAAGUUUAUGUUGAACAACCAUUGGGCUUCUUGGUCAAAAACCAUGAAUAUAAAGUGUUGCGGUUGAAGAAAGCUUUAUAUGGAUUAAAGCAAGCCCCACGAGUAUGGAAUAGUUGUAUCGACAAGUAUUUUCAAGAUAAUGGGUUUACUCGUUGUCUCCAUGAAUAUGCUCUUUACCUUAAAGUUCAUACUAAUGGAGAUAUAUUACUUGUUUAUCUUUAUGUUGAUGAUCUUAAUUUCACGGGUAAUAACGCAAGUUUGUUUGAAGCUUUUAAGAAAGAUAUGACCCGUGAGUUCGAGAUGACAGACGUAGGGCUCAUGUCAUACUACAUGGGCCUAGAAGUGAAGAAUAUGGAGGAUGAAAUUUUUAUCUCUCAAGAAAGUUAUACAAAAGAGAUAUUGAAGAAGUACAACAUGCUUGAUUGCAACCCCGUGAACACACCGAUGGAAAGUGGGACAAAAUUAUCCAAGUUUGAUGAAGAAAAAAAGUGAAUUCCACAUUUUUCAAAAGUCUUGUGGGAAGUUUGAGGUAAUUGACUUGUACCAGGCCAGAUAUAGUCUUUGUAGUUGGAGUAGUAAGUCGCUUCAUGGAAGCUCCUACCUCCACUCAUUUGAAAGUCACUAGAAGAAUUCUUCGUUACCUAAAAGGUACGAUUGACUUUGGGUUAUUUUAUUCUUCUUCUAGUGAUUUCAAGCUUAUAGGAUUUUGUGAUAGUGAUUAUGCGGGAGAUAUUGAUAAUAGAAAAAGCACAAUUAUUUUGUGUUUUUUCUUGGGUGAUUAUGUUAUUUCUUAGAGUUCAAAGAAACAAUCCAUUGUUACUCUCUCGACUUGUGAAGCUGAAUAUAUAGCAUCAACAUCUUGUAUAUGUCAUGCUAUUUGGCUGAGAAGAUUAUUGAAGGAGCUCAAUUUGUUUCAAAUUGAAGCUAUAUAGAUUUGUAUUGACAACAAAUCCGCACAGACACUUACCAAGAAUCUGGUGUAUCAUGAUCAAAGCAAGCAUAUAGAUACAAGGUAUCGCUUCAUAAGAGAAUUUAUUGCCAAGAAGGAGGCAGAACUCAAAUAUGUGAAGUCUCGUGAUCAAGUUGCGGACAUUUUUACAAAACCUCUCAAACUUGAAAAUUUUCAGAGAUUGAGAUCAAGACUUGAGAUGAAGAAGAAAAAUCAAAAUUAAGGGGGAGAUUUGAUGGGUUCAUCCCAUGUGUAAUAUGGCCAUUAAUUUGGCUUCUAUAACAAAUUUGUGGACCAAGUUUUCAUGACAUUUGCCAUGAUAUCAUAUCCACUAUAACAAAUUUGUGGACCAAAUUUUCAUGAUAUUUGCCAUAAUAUCAUAUCCACUAUAACAAAUUUAUGGACCAAGUAUUCAUGACAUUUGUCAUGACAUCAUAUCCACUAUUAGACUAAAGAUUUCUUGCUAUAAAUAGAAGAGCUUCUCCUCAUUUGAAAAUACACUAAAAUAAGAGAGAAGCAAUAGAAGUUAGAAAGAGUAAUUCAUAGAUUGUACUUUGUGAGAUAAAUAUUGAACGUGAAUAAUAUUGUAGUGAGUCUGUGAGUGGUUGGAGGGUGGACCAUUGGAGUUGUGUGCAGGUUGUGUUUGUGUUUCAGUUGUUGUUGGCUGGAAAGUUAGAGUGGAGGAGGUGUGUGGGAGGUCUGGGUUAUUAGUGCUGCGAUGUAGUAAAUCAACUUCUUGGUCGUUAAUUUCCAAUAUCAAUCACGAUAUUGGAAAUUAUACCAUAAACAAACUUUAAUGUGUAACAAAUGUAUGUGUGUAUAAGCAAUUAUACUAAAUACUACUCAAUAUUUAUUCUUUACUAGGACAUCCCAAGAAGAAAGCUUCACAGAAUAUGAGCCUACAUAGAGAUAAUUAACUUGUGUACAAACACAUCAGUAUUAGGAAAAAUCAACCUAAGGAAUUAAUGGCAACAAUCUGCGCAAUACUGCACUGAAACCAAUGCCAAUACCAAGCCUGACAUUAAUCAACUGCCCUAUGCUUCCACAGUUUGCAGUUUGGGUAUGUUUUCUACUUUAACUCCACAAUUAAUAUCAUGUGGACACGACGCUACGUGUACUUUAUCUGAGCAAACCAGUAAACCAAGCUUCACAAUAUCAAUAAUCUGUUCCUGUGUCAGUUCUGGGAGCUUCUUAUUGUUCAUGUUCUCAUCCACUACUAUGACUGCUGGCUUUUGUAUCUCCGGAAGUUUUUGCUCCUUUAAGAUGGCCUUCUCCUUUUUGCUGUAUAUUACGUAGAGCACUAUUUGGACAAUACCAAAGAUGAAUCCCAAUACAUUUGGAGCCUAUAAAAGAUAACAAGGUUAUAAGUGCCACGUAAGAUCCAAGAUAUUUUAAGUAAACAUGGAUAUAUGCAUAAUUAAUUAUAGAGUGGUAUAUAUGAGCUUGAAAAUAGAACUUACAGCAAUGUUAAUGUCUUUUAGUAAAAGACCAUAGAAGAACCACAUCACUGCACUUAACGUGAGAAACACUGAUAGGAGUAAUGGCAUGUAUUCCACACUCUUUGUUUUUAUUACUUUUCUCUGCAUAAAAUGAGAAAAAUCAUCAGGAUUAUAUUCUUCACGCAUGAAAAAUCAUCAGAGUUUGAAAUAUUUGUAUGUAAAAGCUCACCACAAUGCCUAAGGGUGCUACGAACACACAUAAGGAAAAUACAAGGCAAAUCCAUCCAACCACUUGUCCACGAACGGCCCCUUUGAAUAGAAAUUGGGUAACCAGAACAAUAGCACCAAAUCCACCCACCACUGAUAAUAGGAGCAUCUUCACAGUUUGGACCUGCAUUAAUUAAAUUGUAAACAUCAAAUAUUCUUCCUUUAGGAAAAGAAACGAUGGAAAAUAAGAACUCCUAAAAAGGAAAAAAAAUAGUUGUCCAGUGGAUGCCAUGAAAAACCUUACCUUGGCCUUCUUUGGCGCGUAGAAAAGGUAGAAACCAACGUAGAUAGUUUCAAUGAAAACUCCAAAGGAGUUUAUAGUGAUGAGAAGGGUCGUAUUGGUCUUGAGAAAUGCAUAGUAAAUCCAAAGCAUUGAACUAAAGAGUGCAACCACGUACGGAAUUGAUUGAUAGCCUUCAGUUGAUUUUUUCUUGUAGAUUUUAUAAAAGGUAGGCCUGCAAGUGUGAAGUUAUAUAUAGUGUUAGUCAGAUUAUAAUCCAAAUAAACUGAACAUUUAAAAAAUACUACAAGAAAAUGGAGACUCACAGGGGAGAAAGGAACACAAUGAACGAGACAAUGUUACCUGCAAUUACAAAAGAAAAAGAAAAAGAAAAAGAAAAGAGACGAUGAGUUUAACCUCGACACAUUGAACAUAUUUUAGGAUGGAAGUACAUAUUUAAGGAAUCCAGUCAGAAUAUUUUACAAUUAAGAAGCAAGAAUUAGGAGAAAACAGGUUUGUAUUUACCAAGGACACCAAAAGCAAAAGCCCAGUGACCAGAAGUAGCAGCCAUCUCUUUUUUGUAAGUAUGUUUCUAGCCAAAGAAUUGCAAAUCUCUAGCACUCUGUCUCUCACCCACAAUGCUAGAGUUGCAAAAGACAAUCAAGUUUUCUACUUGGCUGUGAAAUGAGGAGGGUUUGCUUGACAUAUUUAUAUAGGCAAGGGAUGGGAAUUAUUAAAGUUGGUGCAUGCAACAUUGAAAUUAAAGAUCCUUUUUUUUUUCCCUUUUCCUACUGUCUCUGGACAAGUAUUUAAUUAAAGUUCAAAAAAGCACUGAGAGGAGUAAGGGUGCUAUGGCAAUAUCCUCAAAGUUCAAGGAUCCC